UACCACCAAACUCUUGGUGGAUUGACACUAGUGCAAGCAUUCACAUAACGAAUUCAUUGCAGGGAUACCUUACAAGCAAGAGACUAAGUAAAGGAGAGCGAACCAUUACUUUGGGAAAUGGAACAGAAGUAGAAAUUGAGGCUAUUGGCACUCUUCAUUUAAUUUUGGAUACUGGUUUCAUUAUGGAUUUAGUAGAUACAGUUUAUGUUCCUAUUUUUACUAGAAACCUAAUUUAAGUUCCAAGACUUGAUUCUUAUAGUUAUGAAUUAAAGUUUGGAAAUAAAGGAGUUUCCUUGUUCUAUAAUUCUUGUUUGGUUGGCUCUGGCACUUUACGUGGUAAUUUUUAUUCAUUGAAUUUAGAUUGCAGAUAUUCACAGUCUCUUUUAUCUUAUCAUGUGUAUGAAUUCUCUAAAAAACGAAAUCGAGUGAAUGAAAAUUCAUCCAUAUUGUGGCAUAAGCGAUUGAGUCACAUUUCAAAAGAAAGGAUGGAACGUCUUAUUAAAGAUGAAAUUUUGACUUCACUUGAUUUUUUUUUUUUUUUUUACUAGUUGUGUUGAAUGCAUAAAGGGAAAAUACACCAAGGUUAAGAAAAAGGGUGCCUCAAGGGCUACUGAAUUGUUAGAAUGUAUUCAUUCUAACAUUUGGGGACCUUAUUCAAUUCCAACUAUCAAUGAACAUAAGUAUUUUAUUAGCUUUAUUGAUGACUUUUCAAUGUUUUCUUAUGUGUAUCUUAUUCAUGAAAAAUCUGAAGCAUUAGAUGUUUUUGAGAUUUAUAAAUCUGAGGUUGAAAAUCAACUCAAUCGGCGAAUUAAAAGUGUAAGAUCUGAUAAAGGUGGUGAAUAUUAUGGUAGGUUCACCGAAUCAGGUCAACAUCUUAGUGCUUUUGCCUUAUUUUUAAGAGAGCAUGGUAUCAUUGCAAACUACACAAUGCCUGGAACACCAGAGCAAAAUGGUGUAGUAGAGCGACGAAAUCGUACUCUAAUUGACAUGGUGAGAAGUAUGAUGAGUAACUCAACCUUGCCUGAAUUUUUGUGGGGUGAAACAUUGAAAACUGCUGUUCACAUUCUCAAUCGUGUUCCUAGUAAGGAUGUACCCAAAACUCCUUAUGAGUUAUGGGUGGGUAGGAAACUGACUUUGAAUUAUUUACAUGUAUGGGGAUGUCCAGUUGAAGCUAAAAUUUUUAACCCACAAAUAAAGAAAUUGGAUUCUAAAACCAUAAGUUGUAAUUUCAUUGGCUAUCCUGAAAUAUCAAAAGGUUUUAGAUUUUAUUGUCAUGGUUAGGGCCCUAAAAUUGUUGAAACUAAACAUGCUGUGUUUUUGGAAAAUGAAUAUUUUAGUGGGAGAACUGAGCUUAAAAAGUUACCCUCUAAUGAAGUAUCAACACCAAUGAUAGAAUAUGGUGUGACUCAAGAGGUUUCUUAUAAUGAAAAUGAGAAUGUCCCAAUUACAGAAGUAUCUUUACGUAGAUCACAAAGAGAGAAAGACCUGCUAUAUCAAAUGACUAUGAAGUUUAUCUUAAUGAGUGUGAUUAUGAUGUUGGCUUGGAAAGUGAUCCUACUUCUUAUGAUCAAGCCAUCAAUAGUGAAAAUUCAACUCUAUGGCUUUAUGCUAUGAAAGAAGAGUUGAAAUCAAUGAAAGAUAAUGAAGUUUGGGAUCUUGUAGAAUUGCCUAAAGGAAUUAAAACUAUUGGUUGCAAAUGGAUUUUAAAAACCAAACAUGUUUCUAAGGGCAAUGUCGAAAGAUACAAGGCCAGGUUAGUUGCAAAAGGAUACACUCAAAAAGAAGGAAUCGACUAUAAGGAAUCAUUUUCUCAUGUUUCCAAGAAAAAUUCCUUAAGAAUAGUCAUGGCUUUAGUAGCUCAUUUUGACUUAGAGUUACAUCAAAUGGAUGUUAAAACUGUCUUUUUGAAUGGUGACUUGCAUAGAAAGGUUUAUAUGAAUCAACCCGAGGGUUUUCAGGAUAAAGGCAAGGCACAUCUUGUAUGUAAACUUAAAAAGUCCAUAUAUGGUCUAAAGCAGGCUUCUAGACAAUGGUAUCUUAAGUUCCAUGGAAUUCUCAUCACUUUUGGUUUCAAAGAGAAUCUAGUGGAUCAAUGUAUAUACCUUAAGAUCAGUGGGAGCAAAAUUUGUAUUAUUGUAUUGUAUGUUGAUGAUAUGUUGCUUGCUAGCAACAAUAUGGGAAUGAUUUUGGAGACCAAACAAUUUUUAUCCAAGAAUUUGAUAUGAAAGAUCUUAGUGAAGCAUCCUAUGUGAUAGGAAUUGAAAUUCAUCAAGAUAGGUCACGUGGAUUAUUAGGAUUAUCCCAAAAGAACUAUAUUGAAAAAGUUCUUAAAAGAUUCAACAUGCAAAAUUGUUCUAGCAGUGUUGCUCCUGUUGUGAAAGGGGACAUAUUUUGUGAACUUCAAUGUCCCAAAAAUGAUCUUGAAAAGAAACAAAUGAACAAAAUUCCUUAUGCUUCUGCAGUAGGGAGUAUUAUGUAUGCUCAAGUUUGCACUCGACCAGACAUAGCUUAUGUGGUAGGCAUGCUUGGUCGAUACCAAAGUAAUCCAGGUAUUGAUCAUUGGAAAGCAGUUAAGAAAGUAUUGCGUUAUUUGCAAGGGACUAAGGACUACAUGCUUACAUACAGAAGAAUAGAUAAUCUAGAUAUUACUGGUUAUUCUGAUUCCAAUUAUGCUGGCUGUAAGGAUACCAGAAAGUCUACAUCUGGGUAUAUUUUUAUGUUAUCAAAUGGACCUAUUUCAUGGAAGAGUCAUAAGCAAUCGUUGAUAGCUUCUUUUACAAUGGAGGCAGAAUAUGUAGCAUGUUAUAAAGCCACAUGUCAUGCAAUAUGGUUGAGAAACUUUGUCUCAGGGCUUCAUGUUAUUGAUUUGAUAAUGAGACCAUUGAGAAUAUAUUGUGAUAAUAGUGUUGUUGUGCGAUUCUCUAAAAAUAAUAAGACUACAGGAGGAUCAAUGCACAUUGAUAUUAAGUACUUGGUUGUAAGGGAGAAAGUUCAAAAUGGAGUUGUCUCUAUUGAACAUAUUAAAAAUACACUCAUGUUGGUAGAUCCAUUGACAAAAGGUAUUCCACCUAAGCUUUUUAUAGAUUAUGUUGCGCGCAUAAGCUUGGUGGCAAGUUUGUCAAUUUUAGAUUGAUUGAGAGUGUAAUGUAUGUGAUCACAUUAUAAUGAGAAUAAAGUUCUUGAUUAUGAUAUAUUGAUGAUUAUUAUGUUACUUUUAUACAUCAUUUUUGUGCACAAUCUAGAUGUUUAAAAGUUGAUGGGACCAUUAUGUGAAUGAAUUAGCAUUAUCACCUUAAUGUUGCUAAUGUCAUAAAAGUCAUUGAUUCAUGUUAAUGGAGGUGCUAGUACUAUAAUCCUUGAAGAAUAUUGGAUCGUUGUGUGAUCCAAUCAUUUCAAUGAUUUGGUGUUAGUGGUUUCAUGAAACAUAAUCUUAAAGUAAAGGAUGCCUAUUUUGAGAAAUUGUUAUGGUCAUAUUAUGUUUUAAUCUAUUACAAAUAUAAUUAUGUAGGCCAAGUGGGAGAUUGUUAGCUUUUUUCCUAUAAUGUGUAGCCAUAUAUAAUUAUAUUUAUAUAAAUAUUAUUUAAGGGUAUCAAUUGAUAGGUAGGUGAAUCAAUUGAUUGGGCAUCCAAGAGUCUUAUGUAUGGAAAACUCAAAUUACAAAUGGGAAGUUAGAAAAUUUAACUCAUAUGAAUGUGGUGUUACAACUUUUGUAACCCCAUCAUUAUGAAAUUUAUUUGUAUAUUAUGUUUAUGAGUAAUGGAGGAAAAUGGAAAGGUAUAACCUAUGCAAUUAUAUAAAUGCAUUCAAGUUCAUAACCCAUCAUUACCCAUUAAUUUGUACAUAAUGGGUGUAAAUAAUGAGUAUAACUCUCAUAUAGCCUUUGAUGGGAAGACUAAGAGAUGUACAACUUAUUAUAAAUUGAGGUCCCAAGCCACACUCUCAUUCUUAUGUCUUUUUCUUUCUUGUUGUUUAUUUUUAACAACAUACACCACACAAGUGACCCAUCCACUAUAUGAGAGUAGUGAGUUGAAAACCUUGACAAUACAAUUCACAAGGUGACUCAAUCUCACUUAAUGGAUCAAGGUAAGAAUAUGAUCAUUAUUUUAGCACUAAUAAAUUAUUUUGUUUUAUGUAUCCAAAAUUGUGUUCAAAAAUAAUUAUUUCCGCAUAAAGUUUAUGAAAGUUUGGUUAAUAGUUACUUCUAUACACUUUGAUAUUGGUGAGACUCUUGAAAAUCUUGAGGUUGUAGAUAUCUACGACUUCACAAUCAUUUGGCCACAGUUCUACAAGAUGAUAUCAAGAUCAUCAAAACUGAGAAGGCUACGACUCUGGGAUGUGUUCUUUGAUGACAAGAAUGAGAUUGUGGAUUUGGAAACAUUUUUUGUUUGCUUCCCACAGCUAAGCCAUAUUUCUUUGUGGUAUGUGUAUUUGAGAGAUGGAGUUCAUUAUGCUUUACCGGGCUUUUCUCAUUUGGAGAAUGUGAUUGAAAUGGAGCUUGGAUGGACUACAAUAAAUGAGCUCUUCCUAGAUUAGGUUGAGGGAUUGGUUAAACGAUGCCCAAAUCUUAGGAAGUUGGUCAUUCAUGGGCAAGAUAUGAAUUCCGAAGAAACAGAGGAAUGCAUGAGACUUACAUCAUUGAUUAAACACCUCAUCAAUGAUAAAUAUGAGCACGUAGAGGUUCAAUUGGCCUAUAAGUAGAAAUUGUACGAAAUGUUUUGUUGAAAAUUCAAGUUUUGGUUCAAUAUAAAUUGUACAAGCACCUAGGUGGGUAAAAUUUACUGUAUGUAGUGCUUGAGAAUCCCUUUUUGUCCUAUAAAUGAUAUGUGAUGCCGUUUUUCAACUAAUUUUCUCCCAUCUUAAACAAAUUGAUGAAUUUGAAAGAAAAAUAGCAAUAUUUGUAUUGAAUGCUUUCAUUAAUGCUAUGUUUGGUUCCCAAAAAAUUUGAGAGAAAAUGCAAGGGAAAGAAAAUAUAAAAAAAAAAAAAAAGUAGAAGGAAAGAAAAAAUGAAAGAAAAUAAAAACUAAAUUUAAAGUCGAUAAAUUAUUUUUUUGUUACUUCAAACUCAUUUUAUUUAUUUUAAUUCAUCAUUAUAAAGAUUAAAUAAUUUAAAAAUAAAGUUUUUAAUUAAUUUUAAAUAUAUUUGAUUUUCUUUUAUAUUUUUCAUAGGACAACCAAACAUAAAAAAAUCAUUUUUCUUUAAAUUUUUUUAUUUUUUUAAUAUUUUUUGGGAACCAAACAUAACCUAAAGGGUUCAAACAAAUAGAGUUAAUAAUUGGAAGCAAGCCUUUUGAAUACUCCAAUGAUAGAGGAGUUUAUCUAACUCAACAUCACAUUUUUCUGAAACCCCAUUCCCAUAAACAAAUCCUAUUCAGAAUAGAGGCCCCUUGGCCUAUAAGUUAACUCUCAAAAAGCAAAUUCAUCAUCCGGGAUUAAAUACCAUAGCUAGACAAUGGAAUUCCAAGGUUUAUGAUUCAUCUAACUAUAAUCCCAUUAUCGAAAACGACAUUCAAAAACCUGUUUUUGCAACGGGUCUCUCAUAAGUCUUUUUUUUCAUAUUUAUCCCAAUUCCCUUUUCUCAUAAACUUUUAGUUGGAGUACGCAAAAAUAUUUGUCCAUUGAUGGCGAGGGAAGAAAUUUGCCCUUACGCUGAUUGGACCAGCCAACAGAUGUGGCUGGACCAGAGAGUUGAUUCUAUUAGUGCCACAUCGCUGAUAGGGUUGGGUGGUAUUUUUUCUACUUGGUGUAGCAUUUGUUCGUAUAUAUGGGAGCUUCGUCAGUCAGUGUUUUCACAUUGAAAACUGCCUCACCACAAAGUAACGAACCCUGUACACACCCAAGGAGUUCCUAGAGCUAGCGAAGUGAAUGCCAGGAGCACGGAAGACACGGGUCAUUGGAGGGAUGGUCAACGCAGGUCAAACAUGCUACAAUGCUCCUCCGCUCCUCUUUUUGCCGUCAAGGGGACUCGAACCCAAACAAAAGGUUGGGAAAUAUGAUACAUUAAAAAUAUAUAUUCAAAAUCAUAAAUAUUAAAAAAAUAUUUCAGAGAAUAAAUUAAUUAUAAUUAUUUUAUUAUUAAAUACAAAAAUUUCUUUUAAAUGAUUACUGAAAAUAUAAAAAUUAUUAUAAUAAUUUUUUUAAUAUCAUUAAUAAUUAAAUAUUAAUAAAUUGUACAUAUAUCAUAAUUUAUUUUAUAUCAUUUAAUAUAAUUGAAUUAAAUGAUCAUAAUUUUAAUAUUAAUAUAUAUUUUAAAAUUAGACAUAUUAUAAUCAAAUAUCAUAAUACUAUUAUUAAUUAAUAUUUGAUAUUAUUUAAUAAUAAAUGUACGCUUAUAAAAUUCAUAUUUUUAUCGAUAUAUACGAUAUUAUUAUCAAAUAUGAUAAAUUAUAUUAUACAUAUAUCAAAUUUUUUAAUAAAAUAACUUUAAAAUAUCUAUUAUACUUUUAAUUACAUUUUUAUGAAGUUUUUCUUUUCUUUUUUUUUAUAUAUUUUGAUCGAUUUUACGUCUAUCGAUAUUUUUUUUUCAAAAUAUCCAUUGAUAUAUCUCUGAUAUAUCCGUUAUUCGUAAUUUCCGAUAUUUUCAUCAUUGAUUAGAGUCCAUAUAUCCAUUAUUCGUAAUUUCCGAUAUUUUCAUCAUUGAUUAGAGUCCCUAACAUUUACUGUUCACAUGGGAAAAUGAUAAACUACUGAAUUGUUAAAUGUUGGAAAAACACUAUGAUUGCCCUAAGCCUACUGCAGCAAGCCCCAGAACAGAAGAAUAUUCUUGAUACCCUGUAAAUGUACCUUUGAGGGGGUAGCUUGCCGACGGUCAGCUUCAGUCUCAGGCCGCUGAUAUAGCCUUACACCAACAUGUAGAAUGAGAUUAUAAUCCCUCACAUUAACUUAUAUAAUAAUAUUACAAUCAUGCAUGACACAAACCUCUUACGUGCAUAUAUUUCCUCACAAGUUGUACAAUCAAUGAUGUAAAGUUGGCCGACAGGUAUUUUUGUGGGAUCUGAUCUCCGAAAUAACCCCAUGAAUGACCAGAUUCCUACUAUUUGGGCAUCGUUUGACUUACCCCUCAACCAAAUCUGAGAAGAGCUCGUUGAUUACAGUCCAUCCAAGCUUCAUCUCAGUCACAUCCUCCAAAUGAGACGAGCCCGGUAAACCAUAAUGAAGCACCCCAAACAUCUUAAGUACUCAUAGCACAAAGGAAGAUGCCUUGGUAAGUCGGGGUUCGCAAUUCGGAGUCGAAAUCAGGGAGGGAGACAAGGCUAAUGCAUGCAACGGGAUGGAGUUCGGCCAAAUUGUUUUUGGUUGUUUGGGCUUAUUUUUUGGGCUUUUUUUGGGCUCAUUUUUUGUGGUAAUUGGGCCCUUUUGGGUUUUUUGAGUUUAUGUUUCGGCAGAUGUGGGAGAAAAGGGGUGAGUUCUGGGGCAGAGACAAUGGUGGCGUUGACGCUGGCUCGCUCAGCUCUUUCUCUGACACCGUACAUGUCUAAACCACCUGGAAUGAGUGUGCUGUUGCUGUUCUUCACAACCCUAGGGUUUUCAUUUGGAUUUGUUACGCCUUUAGCCCAGGAUCAUCGCUACAAUGUGGGGGAUCACGUCUCCUUAUUCGUCAACAAAGUUGGCCCCUUGAACAAUCCUAGGUAAAAUCACCUUCACUUCCCCUGUUUGCUUGCUCAGAAAAUGGAGGAAAAUGAAAUCAACACAAUUAUAAAAUCUUCCCAACCCAAGCUAAUUAAAGUCGUUUUAGUUGCUUUUGUUUAUCUUUCUUUUCAUUUCAUUUCCUUUUUACGCUGAACAACUUAAAAUGGAGCAGUUCAGUGAGAUGAUCCCAUUUCUGAACUGAAAUUAUGAAAAUAAAUCUCGCACUGUUUUCUUUUUUCCUUAUGCUUUCUGGAUUUGGGUCACCUCAAGUCUUCCAAUUCUCAAGUUCCGCCGCGGAAUCAAUAGCCUGUUGUAGGGAUCCACCAUCUCACGAGUCUUAUUAUUGUUUCAUUGUUGUAAUUCUCGUUAUUAUACCAAAUUAAGUACAUUUGGUUGACUUUAUGUUCUGUUCAUAUAGGAUUCUGAGCAUUAUCCAUCAGAGUGAAUACUUUUUAUGUACAGUUAAGAAUUUAGGACUCUGAGCAUCAUCCAUCAGAUUGAAUACUUUUUAUGUACAGUUAAGAACAAUUAAAGGGUUAGUAGUCAUUUAGAAGUAUUUAGCUAGUUAGAAUUUACAUGUUACCCAUGCUCUAUCUAUCGUUUAUAUCCUGUAAUGUGGGUUCUAUAUUGAGAUUUUUAUAGAGAUAGAGGGCUUGGUCCUUAAAACUCUGAUAAGCUAUGAGGUUAUCUACCCACCAAAAUUAUGUUCUAAACCAGAAUAAGGGUGUAGAGAGCCUUCUUCAUGCUUUAAACACCAAAAAGUUUUUGCUGUUUUAUGGGGCAUUGAGAUGGGAAAAAUGAUUUCUCUUUGAUUUAGUACUUUGAUAACUUUGAAUAGAACGGCUAACCUUGAAACUUUAUGCCUUUUACCAUCCAAAGUUGUGUCACAUUGUUCUAGGGGAGUGGGGCUUCCAAUUGACAAAGCCUAUGUAGGACAUCUCUAAGCCCCAUACAUGAAUGUUUUCUUGAUCACUGUGCUGAUGGAAACAAACCUAGUUAGUCAUGAUUCUGCUAGAUUUUGUCACUUACAAGUAAUUUUGUGUGAGAAACAAUUUAUUUGAUGCACUGCAUCAGUAUGCUGGAUUUGAAAAUUCUCUAAAAUUUCAUGGAGGACAUUCAUAAUUGGGGAAUCAUUGAAGGUAUAACUAACUUGUUUAAGUCAAUGACAUUUUUACCCUCUUCAAGCAUAUUUCCUGCCUCUGAUGCUAAAUGAUUACCAAAUUUUCCUUAUUGAAAUUGUAUGAGCACUUGCAUCACUAGGAUUUUAUCUUUUUAUUUUUAUUUAUUUUUUGUUAAUAUGCAAGUUUUAUUUUCAAAUAUAGAGAGGUUGAUAUUGUGGAGUAAUAAAAUAUUUAAAACACAAAUUAGUGUAAGGUUGAUUGUAAUAGUUGCAAAAAGGUUCACUUUCAUUUUAAUCUACUGAUCUUUACAGAUCUUUGUUCCCUUUCUAAUCUUAAUGUCAUUCAGUGAAUGGGUGAAGUCUACUAGGCUACUAGCUAACGUAGGCAAAAUUGGGUAUUGAUAUCUUUCUCAAUUUUUUUGCCAAAUUAUGAGAUUAUGCAAUAACUGCAAUGGAAAACAAUAUAGAACAAUUGAUGUAACUAAAUAAGAGAAGGAAAAGAAUAUGCAAGCACCAAUAUACAUGGUUAGGCACCAAGCUUGUCUACAUCCCAAGCUCCAGUCCAAGCCUUGACAUUCACUAAACAAGGAUCCUUCUAAACCAGAAACACUAUCAACCCUACCCUUGGUUUUUAUGUUUUAAAUAAAAGGGUUGAAGGUGACUGUUGAGUAGAACUGCUCAACCGGUUAAGCAACCAAUUGACUAGCCAAUCGACAAGUAGUGCAACCAUUUCUUUGUUGUUGCCACAACCACCCAACCUUACCAAGGGAGGGAGACAUACUAGGGGACCCACACUGAGCGCCUUGUCAGGUCUCCUACCAUUUACAAAUUUCAUGGCUUUGAAAUGAUUUUGAUACGUGGACUGAUCUGAGAAAUACUUUAAAAAGGCAUGCAAUAAUUGUGCUUUUGACUUCAAAUAGGAUUCUAACGAUUUUUUUUUUUAUAAAAAAAAAAAAAUGAUAAUCCAGUUUCCCAUUUGAUUCUAAAAUUUUGAAAAGCCUCAAAUGAGUGGGUUCAAUUUAGUUAAAAGGUUUUUUCUUAAAAAGGUUAAGAUGAAAAUUCCCAAGCAAUUGUGCCUUGACUUAGCCUUACAUUUUGCAAAGGUUCUAGCCUAAGAAUGCAUGUUACAAUUGAUUUUUGGAUUCCUUGAGCAAAUUCAUUCUUCUUGAAUUCCUUAAUUGAUGUAGCAAUAACUUUGUACCUGUCCAACACUCUAAAACAAAGUUUAAAUAUCAAUUCUUUGUUUUGUUAUCAUCAAAAUUGGUUUUAUAAAACCUUGGGCUAACACAUUCGAUUGUUAUUCUCUUGCAGUGAAACCUACCACUACUAUGACUUGCCAUUCUGCCGCCCAGGUUAGCCUUUAGGCUCACAGUCACUCAAUAGUUUUAAUUUAAUCAUGUAGUAACUAUCUGAAGAAGAAUCGACUGACAGACUUGUAUCAUUCAAUAAUGGUAGUUGUAUAUUUAUCAACCUCAUGUCCAAAACACUUUCAAUGGGCCAUGUCUCAAAUUCAUUAUUCACAUAUGAACUUGAUUUUGGACUACCCAUUAGAAAUAAAUAAUUGGUGUUGAAGAUAAUCUCUUUAGGCACUCAAUUAAAAAGUUUAAUUUGCAAUCUAUACAUAUAUAUGGACUAACUGCACCAUGUGUCAGCUUUUUAGAUUCCUAUCUUGUAUUGCUCUAAAGCAAGUUGAAAAUUUGAAUUCCUAGGAAUUUAGUUUCUACUUUGAUGGUGUGCAGAUCAAGUAAUCAGAAGGAAGGCAUCCCUAGGGGAAGUUCUGAAUGGUGACUGUUUGACAAAUGCUUUAUAUGAGUUGAAAUUUCGGGAGAACAAAAUUGGGGAAACCCUGUGCCAGAAGAAGCUUAAAGGAGAUGAAGUUGCUAAGUUCAGGAAUGCAGUCUCUAAUGACUUUUACUUCCAGAUGUAUUAUGAUGAUCUUCCACUCUGGGGAUUCAUUGGCAAGGUUGAAGAUGAGAAUUGGACCGUUAAUGAAAAUGGCCCUAAGUAUUAUUUAUUCAAACAUGUUCAGUUUGAUGCUCUUUACAAUGGCAACCAAAUCAUAGAGAUACGUGCUUUUAGUGACCCAAAUCAUGUUGUGGAUAUAACAGAAGAUGUUGAUAUCAGUGUUAAAUUCACUUAUUCUAUCUUAUGGAAGGAGACCUCCACACAGUUUGAGAACAGAAUGGACAAAUAUUCAAGGGCUUCAUUAUUCCCAACGCACCAGCAAAUCCGUUGGUUCUCAUUCAUUAAUUCAUUUGUCAUUAUUGUGCUCUUGAUGGGAUUGCUUACCAUGAUUUUUAUGCGGCAUCUGAAGAAUGAUCUUCGAAAGUAAUGUGGCAUGCAAUUUAUUAUUAGUAUUUUUGCUGAUGUUAUUGUUGUGAAUAUAUUUGAGCAGAGCUCAUAAGCAGGUUAUCUCAGUUAACUUGCCUACUGUUCUUCAAUUUGAAUUUUAGGUUUUCUGGUGGGGAUGAAGAAGAAGAUAAGGAAGUUGGUUGGAAAUACAUUCAUGGAGAUGUAUUCAGAUAUCCUCCUUGCAUGUCAUUGUUUUGUGCGGUUCUGGGCACCGGUACCCAGUUAUUGAUCCAGUAAGCUCAAGUAUUGUACUUCAAGCAGUUGGUUUUGCUGUUUUUUUUUUUUUUCAUGGUCACCAGUCCCACCACUAUUCAUUUUAUUUUUUUCAUAGUCACCAGUUAACUGAUCCAGUUAACCGAUCUUUUUUCUGAACACUGUGCAAUCUAAAUCAGCCUUCGAUCCCCCCUUCCUUAGGUUGAUACCUAAAAAACCCUUUGUACCUUUUCUUUCCUGAAGACUUCAUCUCUGGUAGAGGGGUCCUCCAUAGUCCAAGAAUUUAUAGACCUCAAUUGAUAGUUUGUUGUGGACUUUAAAUCCAAUUUAAAGUUUUUCCUUUACCAUCUGGAAUUUUUUUUCUUUUUCCCAGCAGUUAUCAAAAGGUGAGUUUUUGUGAUGAUGAUCACUGAUUAGGGAAUAAAUUAGCAAAGCACAGAGGAGUCUGACAGGAGCUGUUUCCAUCUGUUGAUUUUAUGAGUUUCAUGUUUAACACUUUUGCCAUUUUUCUUCAGGGCUGCCUUCUUAUUUGUUUUGGCACUACUUGGUGUCCUCUAUCCCUACAAUCGUGGAGCACUGUGUACUUCUCUCGUUGUGACUUACACCCUUACAUCAGUGGUUGCGGGAUACACUGCUUCAUCUUUCUACAAUCAAUUUGUUGAGACUGGAUGGGUAAUUAUUGUACUGUAGAAGUUUAUUCUAUAUCCUUUUUUCCCUUAAAAUUUCCUUGCCUUAUUUAGAACGUAACAAUGUUAAUUCUCUCAGAAAAGAAGUGUUCUUCUGUCUGGGACCCUCUACCUGGGUCCACUGUUUGUGAUGGUGUCUAUCCUUAAUGCAGUUGCUGUAUCUUAUGGGGCUACAGCUGCACUUCCUUUUGGCACCAUAGUAGUGAUUCUUCUUAUAUAUACGUUUUUCACCAUCCCAUUGCUUGGCUUGGGUGGGGUGAUCGGAUAUCGAUUAAGGUCUGAAUUUCAAGCACCGUGUGCUACAAAGAGAUGUCCAAGGGAGAUUCCACCAUUAGCUUGGUAUCGGAAAACACCUGGUCAAAUGAUUCUUGGGGGCCUCCUACCUUUUAGUGCAAUUAUCCUCGAGUUACAUCAUUUGUAUGCAAGCUUGUGGGGCUACAAAAUCUGGACUCUACCUGGCAUUCUGUUUAUCAUGUUCAUCAUCCUUGUCUUACUAACUGCAAUGUUGAGUAUUGGUUUGACAUAUGUUCAGCUCUCUGUGGAAGACCAUGAAUGGUGGUGGAGGUAUGUUACCAUGCAGAGUUCCUGUACUUAACAAUUUGGUUUGCCAUACUGUGUUUAGGCUUGUUGAGUUGUUGAAUUGAAAGAAAUUCAAUUACUUUGUUUAUACCUUGCAUUGCCCUAACAAUUACUUAUUUUGUCUGUCGGAUGCAGAUCGUUGCUGCGUGGGGGCUCAACUGCCAUUUUUAUGUUUGGCCAUUGCAUCUACUUCUAUGCCAGAUCACGUAUGAGUGGUUUCAUGCAGUUUUCCUUCUACUUUGGCUACAAUGCUUGCAUUUGCUAUGCAGUAUUCCUCAUGCUUGGUACAAUCAGUUUUCGCGCUUCCUUGAUGUUUGUUCGUCUGAUAUACCAUGCCAUUAAAAGUGAAUGAGCUUGCUGGUGAUUCCCAUUGGUACAGGCCUAAAUCGUUCUCAUCUAUCUCCCAAAAGAAGAAAGAAGAGCACAAAACAUAAUUAACAGACAUUUUUUUAACAUAUGUAGGUUUCUGGGUUGGACAAGGAAAGCCAGAGUAAAGACCCUGAAAGCAAGGAAAGCCAGAGCAAGAGUCGAGACCCAGAAAGCAUGAUCAGGUAUCAUGUAUUAGAUCUUUGUAUUAUUGAAAGACCAUCGGAUCAGAUUCACAGAGAAUGGCGGAUUAAAAGCCAUGCAGCAUGCCUGUAUGCUGAGUGACAUACAUACAUUUGUAGGGCUAGGUUUGUGAGAGAGUUGAUGACAAUACAAUUCACAAUUCAGUUUUGAAUGUUGACCAGCAAAAAGGGUCCAACUUAACACAUAUCUCUUCACAAAUGACCAUUUUUGCAUUACAGACAUACUGGUAAUAGUGUGAAUGGAAUCAUGCAGUUGUGUAGGCAGUUUUUUUCUCAAAUAUUUCUGGGAUAAAAGUGCUUUCAACAGCAGGAAAGCACAUAACAGAACUCUGCUGGAGCAAUGAGGUACUGAAAGUAUGGUGACUGAAUUUUAAGAUUUUUGAAAAUAAUUUUAAAAAGAUAUAAGAUAAAUUAAUAUUUUUUGUACUAAAUAUUAUAUUUUUAUAUAAAAAAAUUUCUAAUUUUAAAAACAAAAAAUAGAAAGUACAUCAAAUCAAACACAUAAUAAAUCAAUUUUAAACUAAGCCAAACUAAUGUCAAGUGGGUUACUUUGGUCAACAAAUAAAUGAUUCUAAUAGACUUUAAUUAAACUAAGAUUUGUUUGAUAUUGAUUUUAGAAAAUCUUUCUAAACCUUCUAAAACUUAAAAAUUUUCAUCUUUUGAGUAUUAGAAAUAUUAAAAACACUUUUUAAAAUCAUCAUUAAACUCUAAAAUUAACAAACUUAAUUUACUUAAAACCAAAAAUCGGGCACCCUUACAUUCCAUUUAUCUCAUUCUCAAUUUAUCUUAUUCUUGGGAUGGUCAGGUGAAUUUAGCAUAGCUUUUAACACAGUUGGUUGCCCUCCAUGUUAAGGCAACCAACAUGUAAGUUUUAUUAUUAUCAUAUCUUUAAAAAUAAUUAAUUAAAAAUCUUUAUAUGUAUAAAACUUGGUUUUCGAGAUUACAUCAUCCAAAAUAUCUGAAUUUGUCACAUACCGUCUACAUCUUUGUCUCGCCCACAGAAAUGAAUUCCCGUGGGCUAUCACUUUUCCAACCAACAUGUAACAUAGCAAGCAAUGAUAAAAAAAAUCUUGAAUCCCAUUGGACACACCCCAAACCUCUCAUGCCGACCUCACAAGUCACAAUCCUCCCAAAAGCAAAGUAAAUGCAGACACAGAGGGAUCUCCCCCUCUUAAAGAUCCAAACGCCACACAAAUUUGAAUCCACUGAUAGGAAUGACACGUUAGGAUUCCACAUACCAUUCAAAACACCACUCCUUACGUGUAGUAUCACUCUCCACACAUUCCCCCUAACACCCACCUCUGCUCUUUGCUUGUUGCUUCUUAUUCACACAUCAAUAUUGGACCAGCUCCAACCACCGCUACUCUCUCUCUCUGUCACUAUAUGUAUAUAGGAACUGACAUGACUCAUAACUACUGCAGCUGCCGCAGAAGCUGAGAAUCAGAAGAUCAUCGAUCGUCCACCACCCAUUUCUUAUUUUCAAUCUUCCAGGAUCAUGAGGGAAGAACCCAUCACCAGCAUGCUUUGCAAGCCUGAUUUCCAGAUUCCAAAGCUUUCCUUGGGGAGGAUCGAUAGGCCUGGAGAUGACGAUGGUGAUAAUAUUGAUCAGAGGGGUGGUUCGGUACAGGUACAGGUACAGGUGCAGGUGCAGAUGCAGGAUUCUGUGAGGCAGAGGCUGAGGAGGCAUUGGAGUGAGGUGGGUGGGAAGGUUCUGAUACCUGAUAAAUGGGGGAAGGAGGAUCUGCUAAAGGAGUGGAUUGAUUAUUCUUCCUUUGAUGCGUUGUUAGCACCCAAUGGAAUUGGAGUGGCUCGUGAAGCUCUUGUAGCGGCGGGACGAGGAGCCAGCACUCAAGGGUUGAGGAUCUCUAGCAGGUGCUGAAUCUGCUGAUCAUCAUCAUCAUCAUCAUCAUCAUCACUCUUUGUGGAGUGGUGGAGUUUUUCAUGACUUCCUCUUUUUGGUUCCAUUGUCACCCCCUUUCUUUUAAUUACUUAAGUCUAAUUAGACAUAUGAAUUCGAUUCUCUUGCAUGUCUGUGGUUAUGUUACACGGUUACUGAAAUUUUAUGUUUUCCUCUCAUUGCUAGCUUUUCUUUGUGUGGGUAGUGUUUGAUGAUUGUAGCAUGGGGGUCUUUCUGGGUUGAUUGAUAGUAUAUAGAUUGGGAUCUUAUAAUCCAAUGGCUCAAGAGGUAGGGUUGCAGAAGACUUGGAUUGGGAGUGAGGAAAAUAUGUGAAAGAGCCGAGUAGAAAGCCAACCCAGUGGUUCAAAUGAAGGUCUUACUCCAUUAUCACAUGUCCGUCCCUCUGCAAAAACUAACACAUAUGGGCAUUGGGUCAUGGAUCGAUCAGCUCAAAUCCCAUCCAUUUCGAAAUUCUAGCAAUAUGAUAUUAAGAAGAAAAAAAAAAAGGAAAAACCCAUCAAGGGAUUUAUGACUUGAGCCUCGUAUUACUACUUACAAGAAAAUCUAUUUUUAUAUCACUGUCAUCGAGUUUUCUCAAUCAUAUGUAUGAUUUUUGUAUGGCAACUGUCUUGGAUGUUCCAUCAAAGAAAUCUAAUACCAAUACGAUGAUGUCAAUUUUUGGUUGAUUUUGAAGUUUAAGGCUUUUAACAACAAUAUUGCUCUUUCAUAAUAUGAGAGAUAAAUAAAAAUCACUUUUGAUUAUUGUUAUUUAUGGUCAAAAACUUUUCAAAAUGUCAAGGAAUUUAGCUGGUUGGGUCUUCUUAAAGAAUUUGUGUUAAAGUUGACUUUCAAAAAGGGUAAAACUUAUUUAUGCAAUAUUUAAUGUUUUUUAAUAAAUAAAAAAUGAAAUUUAUUAUUUUAAGGAUAAAAGCUUAUGCUUUGACAUACAUUUCAUUGUUAAAAAAAGUUUUUUAAUCGUAAGUUUUAAUAUUGAAACAAUUUGAGAUGUCAUUUGUAUAUAAAUUUUUUAUAUUUUGUUUAUAUAUAUUUAACCAGAGGUUGACGAAAGUUAACUAGAAAUGAUUAACUAGUUAAUGAAUUUUUUUUUUUAAAUGAAUAGCAGAAGACAUCGAUUGAGCUUAUAACUCCAUCGAUUGAGGAACUCAUUGAUCAAUACCUAAACUGGUUUAGGUUUUCUAUUUUCAACAAUCACUUGCUAUAACUUCUAGCAUCCAACGACUAGUAGUCGGCUCAUUUCCAAAUUGUACAUAACAAUUGGUUUGAGUCCUUAACUCCUAUUUAAAGACUCUUAACAUUUAUGAAUAUGAAAAAGAGUUUCAAAUAUUUAUCAAAAUCUGUUUAAACCUUAAACAAGAUAUUUCAAGUGCAUUUUUGUUUUAAAAACUUGCGUAUCAUCUUAGUGCACCACAAUCCUAAUUUAUUUUAUAUUAUUUGAGCAUCAACUUGUAUACUAUGAGUUAUAUUUAUCAAUUCAUUUUUUAUGAAUCUUGCAUGUGAGGUGGAUUCAAAUGUAGGGUAGUAUUUGAACAUCACUUGAGAAGUUCAAGUGCUUGGUCUCUUUUAAGGUUUUGUAAAGGGGCCAUUGGAAUUAUAAUUGAAUAAUGUUGAUUAGAACCAUAAUCUAAUUAUAAAGUUUGGAAACUUGAAAGUUUGGGUUAAAAGCCUUUGAAUAUUGGAACCAUGAUUUUGGUUAGAGUUUAAAAAGAGUAGAUGUAGGCUUGGUUAUACCAAACUAUUAUAAAAAUUUUGAAUUUCUAUUUUCUUUCUUUCUCGAGACAAUUACAAGAUGUAUGUGAAUGUGAUAAUAACCUUAAUGUAUACUUUGCCUAAUUAGACUAAAAGGGUAGAAGAAGUAUCAAAUUGCUCUUUAAGGAUAUGUAUGUAGACAAUUUAUCAUCUAAAAAUACCCCAAUAUACCCUUAAAGUGUAUUUGACAAUAAUUUUAGGAAACGUUUUUAACAUUUAAAUGAUAAAUUUUUUUAAAUAUUAAAAAUAUUAUAAAUGCUUUCUAUAAUCAUUACCAAACGAACUCUUAAUAUGAUUUCUAAAAAUGAAUAUCUUAUUUUUCCAACAAAUGAGCUUAAAAGCAUAUUUGGUUUAAAAGUCUAUGUGAUGACAUUUGAGCACUACAACGUAUAUUAAAAUUUAUCUUUACUCAUGGUAAUUAAUAUAUUAAGAUUUCAAGAAAAAUUAAAAAAUAAAAUAAAAUAAAAUCUUUCUCAAAAUCUAUUUAAUACUCCUAUGGUUUUUAUUUUGUUUUUAUGUUUUUUCAAGUUGUAACUAUUAUCUUAAUUUUUUUCAUCAACUUAAAGUUUUAUUAUUAUCAUAUUUUAUUUUGAAAUUUUGAAAUUUUUUGUUUCUAAAAUUUAAUUAAAUAACAAUAGAAUAAAACAUGUUUAUUUUAAUUUAUUUUUCAUUAAUUUAAAGUUCAAUUAUUAUUAUUUUUUAUUUUGAAAUUUAAUUAAAUAAUAAUUGUAUAAGAUAUGUUCAAAUUUAUAAAUCAUGAACUUAUAUGCAUUUUUAAAAAUUCUUUUUCAUACCAAAUUUACUAGAAAAUUUAUUUACACACGUACACAAAUUUUAAAGAAAAUGUUUGAAUAACCACACCAUCUGCACGGAGGAGAACCGCCACUGUAAUUAUAGGAUCAAAUGAUUCAAUGAUCUGUCAUUAGAUGUGGUUGAAAACAAUAAUAAAAUUAUUAAUAGUGUAAUUAAUUUAAAUCUCCAUUAUAGUCUAGUUGGUCAGGAUAUUUGGCUCUCACCCGAAAGACCGGGUUUCAAGUCCCGGCAAGGGAAUAAUAACAUAUGUUUAUAAAAUUAAAUGUUUUGUUCGCAAAUGCUUUUUUAAACUUGUUUAACUUAUUUUUCUUCUUAUAUAUAAAGAUUAAAUAAUUUAAAAAUUCAUAACUUGCUAAUUAAUUGUAAGCAUAUUUUUUGUACUUUGAUAUUUUAUACUGUAAAUCAUAUAAGAGAAAAAAAUUUUGUUAAUAUUUUUUAUUUAUUUCAUUAGUACUUUCCCAAACAAAAAAUAACCUAAAAAUAUAAAAAUAUAAGAACAUUUUUAUUUUUAAAUAAAAUUUAAAAUGAGAAAUUAAUACUCAUGACUCAAAGAAAUCUUUAUAUUUUGAUCAAAUAAAAAACUUUAGUGUCUCAAACAUAAAUAUAAAAAAACUAGUUUUUUUUUUAUUCUUAGAAAUAAUGGACAAAAAAUUUAAAUUAAAAAUAUAGUUGAAAAAAUAUUUAUAUUUUUUUUUACUUUUUUUUUUUCUAAAAUAGUGAUAAGUUAACAACACCUUAUAAAACGAAUUAAACCAAGACCCCCGCCAGCCCAAAUUAAUUUUUUUGGUGUGAUUGGGCCCAGCCAGAAUAUGAUUGGGCCGGCCCAGUAUCAUCCUUGUGUACGUAGGGUACACUGUGUCCAUUAGCUGAUUAUUAUAUAAGGGGCUCAUUGAAAAAACCCUAGCAGUGGCUGCUAGGGUUUUCUUCAUCUCCUCUGGUUCGGUACUCUCUUCUUCUCUUCAUUUCUUCUUUACGUGUGCCAAAAAUUCUACCAGUAUGCGUUUCUACCUAGUUUCAGUGCUUAGAAUCCGCUGUUUGGUUAAUGAGAAAACUUGGUAAAAUGAAAGAAAGUGAACAUUUGAGUUAUCGAUUUCUCAUUACCUGAGGCUUGCCGCUAUACUUCAUGUCAGAUUAAAAUUUAUUAUUAUUAUUUUUUCAUUCUUUCAGUUUUCUCAGGGACCAAAUAGGGGUUAAUUGUUUGGUUUAAGUUGGAAAUUUUAUACGAAUGUUUGGGUAACGGUUAUGAAUAUUUGAUUCUUUUUUUCUUGAAUCAUGGGCACAGGAAAGAAACCUGUAGUGGAUCCAUUGGAAGGAAGAGGCUUCAAGCAUGAGGUAUUUCAGAUCUGUUCUGUUUAUGGUGAUCUCUGUUCACCUUAUUUUGUUGAUUGGCACAAAUGGGUUUUAUCUUUUCUUCGUAUUUUAAUUCAUAGCUUGUAAUUUUAAAUUGGACGACUUCUCAUAUAGCUCUUCUGUUCCAGUUGUUUGAACAUUUGGUAUGUAUUUGAAAGUAAAAUGCUCGAGAUGGAAGGAAAAAAUAAAUUGGAAUGAAUAUUUAAAAUAUAGAUUAAGGACUGUCUUGUAACCAGUAUAUUUUGUCUUAUUGAUAAAUGACUAUAAUGAAAGGAUUAUGGUUAUAUGACUUUACAUCUAGAGAGAAAAGAAUAGGCUUUAAUUUCUAGUGUAUUAGGAAUGGGAUACCAAGUUCAAUUUAUUGCUAUAUGCCAAUGCUGCGCCUUUGAGCUUGUGUCUUUUUUAUUGGGGUGAAAUAAUGUCUAGGAUAUAAAAUUUGAUGUGCAGAGGUGUUACCCAUUUGGUUAGCUGGUGUUGUAAUUGCACUUUAGUUUUUAAUUUUUGUGUGGGUUGAUGGUAUAAUCACAGAGAAGUGUUCAUCCUACCUGGAUUAAUGAGGAUGCUGGUGCGUUCAUCCUUAUUUUAUUGUGGCUCAGGAACUUUGUUGAUGCAGAAGUUCUAAAAUGAUUACAUUUUUUUAAUUCUUAUCUUUAACUAAAAUUGUCCUUGAUUUAUGUUGCUUUGAAAUUGAACUUUUUUUCUAUCCCCUGACUCAUUAUCUUUCUUUCAUCUACAGUAAGCUCCAGAGUGAUGCUCUUAGAGAAGCCAUCACAAACAUUGUUAAUGAAUCCAAGGAGAAAAAGCGUAAUUUUACUGAGACCAUUGAGCUCCAAAUCGGGCUGAAAAACUAUGAUCCCCAGAAGGACAAGCGUUUCAGUGGUUCUGUGAAGUUGCCCCACAUCCCUCGCCCCAAGAUGAAGGUCUGCAUGCUUGGUGAUGCUCAACACGUGGAAGAGGUAAUUGUGCUCCACUUGGCUGCAUUAAUGGCAAUAAAAGAAGUGAAAGACAAGUGUCAUUGCUAAUUGAAGAAUAUUUUUCAACUAUUUUUUUGUUUAAGUUGAAAUAUACUUCCAUUGUGAUCUCUUAGCAUUAACAUUUCAUCUUUUGCGGUCCCCACAUUUUCUUAUUUGUUGAGCGGAGAUGUGUCAAAGUGAAAGCCCCUGGGAUUAUUGAAUGUUAUGUGUUUUACUGUAUACUGGGGCUUAUGGUAAAUACUAGUGAUAAUUAAAGGCAAAUUCUAUUUUGGGUUAGUUAUUCUGUUGUUUAUAUUCUUUGAUUUUGAAAUGAAAACACAAGUACCCUUUGUUUUGAUUUGAAACUGAUACAGAUCCUAUCUGGUUCCUCUAGAAAGCAGUUCCUUGUAGUCCUGGUUUGAACUAGGAUUCUUGUUGAUUUUGGUUUAACUAUGGACUUCUGGUUGCUGAUGUUUGUCAUUUGUUCUUGGCAAUGUGCUUUUUCUUUUCCUUGUAUUUUAAUAUUCUUUUAAGAAGAAGAAAUUUAAAGCCCAAUUUCACUUCACUUUACAAUUUUAAGUUUUCAACUUGAUACUUGAUCUAAAUUAGGUGCAUUUUGCAACUUAAAUGCACUUCUUAACCUAUUUUUCAUAUAGCAUGCCCGUACCUUUAUUCCAGCUUAAGAUUUUAAUUGAGUCUUAUUUAUUUAUUUUUUGCAUUAGUUUGUUCUUUCCUUAAGGUUGUUUGUUAAAUUAAAUUACAGGCAGAAAAGAUAGGCUUGGAAUACAUGGAUGUGGAAGGGCUAAAAAAGCUGAACAAGAACAAGAAACUGGUCAAGAAACUUGCCAAGAAAUACCAUGCCUUUUUAGCAUCAGAGGCUGUUAUUAAGCAGAUCCCCCGUCUUUUAGGCCCUGGGCUCAACAAGGCAGGCAAGUAUAUCAUAUGAUUAUGGCACCUGUUGUUAGUUACUAUAACUUGCAAUUAAUAUGAGCGCUUAUUUGGUCAUGUUAGAUAUGAUGUAUGUGGAGGACUAAUUCUAGGAUCAUGAAAUAAACAAAAUUAUAUAUGGUUAUAGGCUGGCACUGGUGAUCAUGAGGCUCCUCUCUCUCUCUCAUACUUUUACAGACUUUUAAAAGAAAAAGACACUUGUGAUUGUAAAUGGGAAAUAAGAUGGUUAUUAGCAAGAAAAAUUGUGGGGUGUGUUUGUUCAAAUGAUAAAUCUAAAAUACAUCGGUAUCAAACAAUAUUAUUGGUUCUCUUUUUCUUCAUCCUUCUAUUAUUCUAAUAGUGCUAUAAGUGCUUUGUUCUCUGCCUGAGUUUCUUGUGGCAACUGCAAUAAAACAUUCUGUGAAUAUUUUCAUUGGUUACCUUCCAUUGUAUUAUUGGUAUUGGGAUAGUUGCAUUGAAUUGAUGGCUUACUUGGUUAAAUGCUGAGCUAAUCUAAUGGUAUGUCUCCUUUAUAUGCCAAUCAGGUAAGUUCCCAACACUUGUUACUCACCAGGAAUCCCUUGAGUCUAAAGUUAAUGAGACCAAGGCAAUGGUAAAGUUCCAAUUGAAGAAGGUCCUUUGCAUGGGAGUUGCUGUGGGUAACUGCAGUAUGGAGGAGAAGCAGAUCUUUCAAAAUGUGCAACUGAGCGUUAAUUUCCUUGUCUCCUUGUUGAAGAAGAACUGGCAAAAUGUGAGUUGAUUCACUUAGCUCUGUUAGUUUAUGGAACUAAACCAAUAGGUUAUGAUAAAGUUUAUAUUAAGGCUCUCAAUCAGUCUUUAGGUACCUCACUUCAUAGUACUGUGUUCCAAUUUGUCUGCUUUUGCUGUUUAGUUUUAAUUCCUUUUCUGGUUUAUUAAAUUAUUAUUUCCCCCUCCAUUUGUUUGUAGGAACUUGGUAGUGGGUCUUUAGGUUGCCUUUGCAAAAUUUGUAUCCUUUGAUGUAUAAACCCCAUAAACUUGAGCUUUCACAAAUCUGCAUUGAAAAGUUCUCGCCCAACAUCAUGUGUGAAGCGAUUACCAUUUUAGCCAUCAUCCACCAUGUUAUAGUUAUUAUAUUCUGAAAAUGCCAUGUCAGAUUUACCAUAUUAGGUGUUUCUUAAGAGGUACUGGUAUUUGACAGCUUUUCUUUGUUGCUUUGGCUGCAUCAUUGGUGCCAUCUGAUUGGAGAUUCCCACAUGAAAAAACUGUGGAAGCCAUAAAUAUCUCUCCUUUUAUCAUUUUCCUUUCUUAAAAUUAGGUUGAAAAUCAUCUAUCUUUGAAAGCAAAUGCAUUUUGUUUUUCUGUAUUUUUGUUUCAUCCAUUCAUGAUAAAUUAUCUGAUGAAGCUGUUUGAUGAAAAUCAGGUGAGGUGCUUGUACCUGAAGAGCACCAUGGGGAGAUCAAACCGCGUCUUCUAAGGAGUUAAAUCUUUUACCUGUUAUGGUUGGUGUGUAGGGAGAGUCCUAUUUUGAGCAAACAGUUUUUAAAAAUGUUUUUUUUUUCCUUCAUAUCAAACUGAAUGGUCAAAUUUUCUUCAUGCUUGGCUGUCUACUUUUGGGAUUUCAUUGCACUCAGAAGCAACCAUAUAACAUCAGGUUUUAUUUUAAAUUUUAAUGUUGGGAGUAUUCUGGUUGUCAAGUUUGGGAAUGCUGGAAAUAAUGUUGUGAAUGGAUUGUGCUUUGAAGUUGACCUUACACCAACCCUCCACACUUCCUAAAAUAUGAAUGAGCAUUUAAGAGAAAUUUUUAAGAAGAAUUAUUAUCCUAGUGGGGUUAUUAAUUUAUAUAUGUAUGACUCCAUACGAUAUUGUAUGGUUUAUCAAUUCAAAAACAAUGGAUAUGGUUUAAAGCCUAAAAAAAUAAAUGGAUAUAGUUUCCAUAUGAUGUAACAAGGCUCGUGGAAUUAGUUGAGGUGCGUUAGCUGGACAUCCAUGGUUAUGACAUUCCUAUUAUAAAUUUAUUAUGAUUGCAAAAUUUAAUUUUUUAGGUAGAUUAGAUAGGUGAUUUUUUUUUUCUCUAAGAAAUAAAAUAAAUUUAUAAGGUGUCAACUCAUGAAAUUUGCAGUGAAGUCAACCAAACCCUUAUUAAUUUAUAUUUUUUUUGGCCUUAAAAACAAAAUAUUAUUUUAUAUAUUUUAUAAGAUUAUCGAGGAGAUUUUAUUUUUUAAAUGAGGUUAUUAAUCAAAAUUUUACUUAUAAUUGUUAUUACGUGUUUGGUUAGUUCCAAAUACUAUUAUUAACCAUGCAUUAUUAUUAUGAGUUAAUUCACAUUUUUGUAAAUAAUUAGGGUAAUAAUGAGGAUUUUUAUUCAAAUAAUUCAAACAUUAAGUAUAUACAUCGACACAAAUCAUUUUUCAAAAUAUGAUUAUUUAUAAUAAAAAUAUAUUAAAUGUGAAAUUUCAAUAUUAAAAUAUAAAAAUUUAUAGUCGCUAAUAUAAUAUGAGAUUAUGACAUAUGCAUAUAUGGAAACUUGUAAGCAAUAUUAUUUUUUUAUUAAAAAAUAAUAGUAGGAGAAAAAAUAGAAAAUUUCCUAAGAUUUUAUUUGUUUAUUUUUUCAAAUUUGGGUUCUUCACGUUUAGUGAUUCAUUAUUAUGAUUUUUCGACAAUACUAUAAAAUACAAUAAAUUAAUAUGCUCACCACAACCAAACAACAAGUCGUUGUAGUAUAGUGGUGAGUAUUCCCGCCUGUCACGCGGGUGACCCGGGUUCGAUCCCCGGCAACGGCGAAUUUUUUCCUAUUUGUUUUUCCUCCCAAUUCAAUAUCCAGCCUUGUUUUAAUUUUGAACCACCUUUUAAUCUUUUAUUGAUCAUUUUUUUUAAAAUUCAAUAUUAUUUUUAAUGUUUUUUAUAUUCCAUAUUUCUAUUUUAUUUUUAAAAUAAUUUUAAUAUUUAACUUUUUUUUUAAAAAAUAAUAGAGAAACAUGAACGGCAAUAUGUUUUUUAAUUUUUUUUAUUAAUUCAAUAUUUAACCUUGUUUUUUAUGUUUUAAUUUUGAACCACGUUUUAUUGACCCAUGGGUUUUUAAACUCAACAUUUUUUUGAAUCUCUCUCUCUCUCUCUCUCUCUCUCUCUCUCUCUCUCUCUCUCUCUCUAUAUAAUUUUAAUAGAGAACCAUGUUUUCUUAAAAAAUUUAAUAUUGAACCUUGUUUUACAAGAAAAUUUUAAUAUUGAACCAUGUUUUUUUUUAAUAUAAUAUUUAACUUUUUGGUUUUUAAUUUAAUAUGGAACAACGUUUUUCCUUUAUUCUUUUUAUUUUUCAUUUUUUAGUCUUUUCAACAUUGAACCAAGUCGGAUUUUUUAGAUUCCUUUUUUUUUAUCCCUAAAUUUUAUAGGUAUAUUAAAUCAAACUUAUUUAUUUGUUUUUGUCUCUAUUAAAAGUAUUUAUUUUAAUGAUUUCUUUUCUUUUCUAUUUUUAAAUUUUUGUUUUUCAUGUCGAUAUAGAUGUCGUUGAUUUGAUGAAAAAAGAAAGAAAAAAAAAUGCAAGUGAGUCAUUGAUCAUAGUUUGAAUUCCAAAUCUAAUUUCAUUAAUGUAUUGAGUCUUUAAGAAUUUGUUUGGGUGCACCUUCUUCUUAAAUCUUAUAUAUCCAUUUCACAUACCUUAAUAAUAGUUUGAAUUUUAAUCGUUGAACCAAAAAUUGUAACUAGGAUUUUCUAUCUUUUUGUAAACUUUCUAGGAGAUUAGCCAAGAAUGAGUUUUAUCACUUCAAAAAUUUUAAAGUGUAAGGUACUACUUGAGAGUUCGAUUUCAAGAGUGAUAUAUAUUUCGAUGAAAGUGUAAGAAAGUUCCUUUAUACAAAGAAUCUAGGUGUACAAGAUUAGGAUGUUGUUUGUUUUUUUAAUUUUUUAUUAAAAACAAUUUACUUCUAAAUUUCAAAUUGUUAGAUAUUGUCUAUUCUAAGUCUAAUAAAGUAUUUACAGCUUUAAAAUAUAUCUAUAAAAUUAAGAGAAGUUCAUACUUAUAUAACAUAAAAAUUUUCUUCUCUAUUUGAUAUGAGAUAUCACAAUCACCCUCAAGACACAAUAUCCAUAUUGUGUUCUACAAAAUUAUGAGACCAAAUAACAAACAAACACCCCUAUGGAGCCAAACAAACUCCUAUACUAUAAUAGGAAAUCGACUCUAAUACCAUUUGUAAUGACCCGCACCUAAACAUGUAGAUAUUAUCCGUUCUGACCUCAAUAAGACUCUCACGAUUUAAUACUUAAUAUUAUUAAGUAGUAUUUAGUUUUAAGUUCUAUUUAGAAUUAAGUAAUAAAAAAAAUCAAAAAAUCAAAAACAAAAACUAUCUAAGACUUGGUUUGAAGUCUUGAAGAUAAUGAAAUCUUGAUCUUGUGAUUGAAUCGAGAGGAGUGGACAUGGAUUGAAAUUGGGUUAAACCACUACAAAAAUCAUUGUUUGCAAUUUGCCUUAAUUUUCAUUUGCAUUUGUAUUUGUAAAAAUCAUUAAAUUUAACCAAAACCCAAUUCACACGCUCUUUUAGGCAUUUACCAUUAAGUUAGAUUAGCAUAAAAGAACCAAGUCUCAUUUUCGUAUUUAUAAUUUUGAACUAGGAUUUUUUUUUUUUUUUUUUGUCAUUUUUUCAAUUUCAUAAUUUUUUUUCAUUUUUUUUUAUACUAAGGGGAUCACCUCAAGGGAAAAAAAAAAAAAGACCUCCAUGAUCCUCAUAUUAAUUUAACAUCUAUUACAUUAAUAAUUUAAUACUUGGCAUUAAAAUAGCAAAUAUUUUAAAUCAUUUUCAAGUUUAUUUUAUUUUAUUUUUUUAAAUUAUAAAUUUAAUUAACAAAAUAAAAUUAAUUAAAUACCUUUAUUAGAUUCUCUUUACUCUUGAUAUAAAACUAAUAUUAAAAAUUGUGAUUUUAAUUUUAUUCUUUUCCCUUUUAUCUUUGUAAAUUUUGGUUAGUUGCAUGGUUCCAAAGAGAGUUUUUUUUUUUCCCUAACUUUUAAUUCACAAUCAAAUAUCUUAAUUAAUUAAAUAAUGAUAAUCAAUAUCUUCUAAUUAUCUCAAGAUUGAUAAUUUUUACAACUCUAGAAUGGAACUUACUUUUGCUAAUAUUUUGGUUUUUAUUAUUAUUAUUAUUUUUAUUUUUUUAAAAUUUUUUUAUAUGAUUUCAUAAUUUGGGUCUAUUAUCAUUAUAUUUUCAUUUAUAUCCUUGUCAAUAAAUUAUACCCUUGAUAUGCAUAAAUUAAAAUUAGAAUAAUAAAUCAUAAUGUCAUACAAAAGAGAGAAAUCCAAAUCCUCAUGCGAUUAAGCUUUUGUUUUUGUUUUCAUAACAAUAAAAUUUAGAUUUAUAUUUUUAUUUUUAGUAAAUCAUUUAAAGACAUACUCAUUCCUCCUUUAAUUUUUUUGACCAAAUAAUUAUAACCUGCAAAUUUUGUACCUUAUUUAUUAUUAUUAUUAUUAUUAUUUUGUAAUUCAUCAAUUAUUAAUUUGGAUACUUUCAAAUAACACCCUCUCAUUUUAUGUGAAUUUAUUAAGCCAUUUUUGGUUUUGGGUUCGGUUGUACUUAAUAAUUUUCUAAAAACUAAAUCUUAUUUUUUAAAAAAUAAAAUAAAUUUAUAAGAUGUUAAUUGACGAAAUUUGAAGCUAACAAUGGUUAAGUGUAUUUACAUAUAUAUUUACGCCAAAUGUCAAAUUUGUGUGAAAUUAAUCCUUAUCAGUUUAUAUUUUUUCAAGCCUUUAAAUAUCUCUAAACUUAAAAUAUUAUCUUACAUAUUUUAUGAAAUUAUUAAUUUAGUACAUUGAUCCAAAUUAAGAUUAGAAGAUUCAAAAUUUUACUUAGAAUUAUUAUUGCAAAUUUAGGUUAUUAUUAUUAUUAUUAUUGAAAAAAAAAAUCAAAAUCAAUACUAGCAUGGUUGGUUUUAAGAAGAUUUUAAUUCUACUCUAAAGUCAAUAUUGGUAAAUGAGGUUUUAUUUUAUUUUAUUUUUAUAUGACAACUCAAUUAAUUCACAUUUUCACGUACAAUUAGAGUGAUAAUUACGACUUACAUUCAAGUAAUUCAUCUUGAGGCAUUAAAUAUAUUCAUCAACAUUAAUCAUUUUUAAAAUAUGAUUAUUUAUAAUAAAAUAUAUAAAAUGUGAAAAUUUAAUAUUAAAAUAUAACAAUUUAUUUGAGAUUAUGACAUGUGUAUGUAUAUAUAUAUUUUGAAACUUGUAUGAUUAAAACUAUAAAAAAAAAAAAAGGAAAAGAAAUUGGAUAAAAUGGUACAAAUAAUUUUAUUUUUUAUUAAAAAAUAAUACUAGGAGAAAAAAAUAUAAAAAUUCGAAAAUUACAUUUAUUUAUUUUUCAAAUUUAGGUUUUUCACGUCUGGUGAUUUAUUAUUAUGAUUUUCCUAGAAUGGUACAUAAAAGUGGAAUAAUCACAAUAUUAUUAAUUAAAUAUAUUAUCCUCACAACCUUUGAUCAACAAGUCGUUGUAGUAUAGUGGUGAGUAUUCCCGCCUGUCACGCGGGUGACCCGGGUUCGAUCCCCGGCAACGGCGUUUUUCCCUUUUUUUUUUUUUUUUCCCCUUUUUUUUAAAAGUUAAUUCAAUAUUAUUUUCAUUUUCAACCAUGUUUUUUAAAUUCAAUAUUUUUUUCUCAAAUAUUUUUAUUUAUUUAUUUUUUCUUUUAUUCAAUAUUCAAACUUGUUUCAAAUUUUGAACCAUGUUUUUUUAAAUUCAAUAAUUUUUAACACUUUUAAAAAAAAAUUUAAUUCAAUAUUCAACCUUGUUUUUUAUGUUUUAAUUUUGAAUCACGUUUUUGUUGACCCAUGGAUUUUAAAUUUAAUAUUUUUUUAAUGUUUUUUAAAUUCCAUGUUUUUUUAAAUUUUAAUAGAGAACCAUGCUUUCUUAAAAUUUAUAUUUUUUUGUUUUUUUUUUAAAUUUUAUUUUUGAACCACGAUGUUUUUUUAAAUUUUAAUAUUGAACCUUUUUUGCAAUAAAAUUUUCAUAUUGAAGCAUGUUUUUUUUUAAAUAUAAUAAUAUUUAACUUUUUGGUUUUUAAUUUAAUAUCAAAAAAUGAUUUUCUUUUAGUCUUUUUGGUUAUUAAUUCAUUCAAUUUUUAGUCAUGAUUGUAUUUGAAUUACUUUUUUUUUUUUUUAAAUGAGAGUAGGACUAAAAAAAUUCUCAUAUAAUUUAGAAGUUACUUUUACUAAGAUUUUGGUUCUUGUUUUUCUAUAAGAUUUUGUAAUUUGCCUUUAUUAUCAUUAUAUUUUCAUUCAUAUCCUUGUCAAUAAAUUAUACCCUUGAUAUGCAUAAAUUAAAAUUAGAUGUGAUUUUAAUCUUUUGUUUUUGUUUUCAUAACAGUUAAAUUUUUAUUUGUAGCAAAUCAUUUUAUGAAUUAUUUUCUAUGAAAGAUUUUGAAUCUAUUGUAGAGAGGUUUUCUAGGUUCAUGGUGAUUAUGAAUGAACUUGAAGCAUUGAGAAAGACCUACACUGAAGUAGAGAAAGUCAUGAAGAUCUUGAGGUCUCUAUCAAAGAAAUGGGAAACAAAAGUGACAGCUAUUCAAGAAGUAACGGAUGUCACCAAACUCCCACUUGAAUAACUCAUUAGGUCACUUAUGACUCAUGAGAUAAAAUUGAACGAUUAUCAAAGAGUUGAAGAAAAUAAGAAAAGUAUAACAUUUAAAGCCUCAACAAAUGAUGAAAAGGAAGAGAGUGAAUAUGAAGACCUUGAUUUCAUCACCAAGAAAUUCAUGAAGUUCAUCAAGCUUGAGAAGAUCAAGGAAAUAAGAAAAUCUCAUUCAAGAGAAGAAUCUUCAAGUGCCAAAAAGAAUAAAAAAGUCAUGGUGGCAACAUGGAGUGAAAGUGAAAGUGAUGAAGACUCCAUGGAAGAAGAAUUCACAAAUGAGGAUGCUAACAUGUGCUUCAUGGCUUUGGAGGAUGAUGCGACUCAGGGUAGCUUAGCUUUAAAGGCGUAUCAACAAAAUUUAUACCUUAAAUACUAUUACUAAAGUAGCCAAGCUACUAUAGCAUAGUGGUUCUAGGAUCGUUCACUGGGAAGGGUUUUCGCAAACACAAGUGAUAUUCAAAUUAGGAAAAUAGGUGAUUUUCUUAUGGAUGUUAGCUUUAAAAGAAGAUGAAAAUGUUUUAGAAAGAUUUAAACUAAUCUAAGCUAACAUUAAAGACUAAAAUAAAAGGGUGUAAAAACAAGUUUCUCAAAGAUAGGAUAGCUAUGCUCUGGCUCUUAUGCAAAUUGGAAAUCUAAGGAUAGGCUCCUCGCGUUGGGGUUGCAACUAUGGUGAUGCUUGCUUCCCGAACCGGUAUGGAUUUAGCAAAUCAAGUUUUAAUCCUUUAAAAUGGCAAAACAGAUGGUAGUGAAUUUCAUCAAUGGUUAUUCACCUUAGACUUCCUUUGAAUGGCUCGUAAGAGAUAACUAAUGGUCUAAAGCCAAAAGCUUACCAAUAUUGGCAACUCAAAGUCAUUCCNNNNNNNNNNNNNNNNNNNNNNNNNNNNNNNNNNNNNNNNNNNNNNNNNNNNNNNNNNNNNNNNNNNNNNNNNNNNNNNNNNNNNNNNNNNNNNNNNNNNNNNNNNNNNNNNNNNNNNNNNNNNNNNNNNNNNNNNNNNNNNNNNNNNNNNNNNNNNNNNNNNNNNNNNNNNNNNNNNNNNNNNNNNNNNNNNNNNNNNNNNNNNNNNNNNNNNNNNNNNNNNNNNNNNNNNNNNNNNNNNNNNNNNNNNNNNNNNNNNNNNNNNNNNNNNNNNNNNNNNNNNNNNNNNNNNNNNNNNNNNNNNNNNNNNNNNNNNNNNNNNNNNNNNNNNNNNNNNNNNNNNNNNNNNNNNNNNNNNNNNNNNNNNNNNNNNNNNNNNNNNNNNNNNNNNNNNNNNNNNNNNNNNNNNNNNNNNNNNNNNNNNNNNNNNNNNNNNNNNNNNNNNNNNNNNNNNNNNNNNNNNNNNNNNNNNNNNNNNNNNNNNNNNNNNNNNNNNNNNNNNNNNNNNNNNNNNNNNNNNNNNNNNNNNNNNNNNNNNNNNNNNNNNNNNNNNNNNNNNNNNNNNNNNNNNNNNNNNNNNNNNNNNNNNNNNNNNNNNNNNNNNNNNNNNNNNNNNNNNNNNNNNNNNNNNNNNNNNNNNNNNNNNNNNNNNNNNNNNNNNNNNNNNNNNNNNNNNNNNNNNNNNNNNNNNNNNNNNNNNNNNNNNNNNNNNNNNNNNNNNNNNNNNNNNNNNNNNNNNNNNNNNNNNNNNNNNNNNNNNNNNNNNNNNNNNNNNNNNNNNNNNNNNNNNNNNNNNNNNNNNNNNNNNNNNNNNNNNNNNNNNNNNNNNNNNNNNNNNNNNNNNNNNNNNNNNNNNNNNNNNNNNNNNNNNNNNNNNNNNNNNNNNNNNNNNNNNNNNNNNNNNNNNNNNNNNNNNNNNNNNNNNNNNNNNNNNNNNNNNNNNNNNNNNNNNNNNNNNNNNNNNNNNNNNNNNNNNNNNNNNNNNNNNNNNNNNNNNNNNNNNNNNNNNNNNNNNNNNNNNNNNNNNNNNNNNNNNNNNNNNNNNNNNNNNNNNNNNNNNNNNNNNNNNNNNNNNNNNNNNNNNNNNNNNNNNNNNNNNNNNNNNNNNNNNNNNNNNNNNNNNNNNNNNNNNNNNNNNNNNNNNNNNNNNNNNNNNNNNNNNNNNNNNNNNNNNNNNNNNNNNNNNNNNNNNNNNNNNNNNNNNNNNNNNNNNNNNNNNNNNNNNNNNNNNNNNNNNNNNNNNNNNNNNNNNNNNNNNNNNNNNNNNNNNNNNNNNNNNNNNNNNNNNNNNNNNNNNNNNNNNNNNNNNNNNNNNNNNNNNNNNNNNNNNNNNNNNNNNNNNNNNNNNNNNNNNNNNNNNNNNNNNNNNNNNNNNNNNNNNNNNNNNNNNNNNNNNNNNNNNNNNNNNNNNNNNNNNNNNNNNNNNNNNNNNNNNNNNNNNNNNNNNNNNNNNNNNNNNNNNNNNNNNNNNNNNNNNNNNNNNNNNNNNNNNNNNNNNNNNNNNNNNNNNNNNNNNNNNNNNNNNNNNNNNNNNNNNNNNNNNNNNNNNNNNNNNNNNNNNNNNNNNNNNNNNNNNNNNNNNNNNNNNNNNNNNNNNNNNNNNNNNNNNNNNNNNNNNNNNNNNNNNNNNNNNNNNNNNNNNNNNNNNNNNNNNNNNNNNNNNNNNNNNNNNNNNNNNNNNNNNNNNNNNNNNNNNNNNNNNNNNNNNNNNNNNNNNNNNNNNNNNNNNNNNNNNNNNNNNNNNNNNNNNNNNNNNNNNNNNNNNNNNNNNNNNNNNNNNNNNNNNNNNNNNNNNNNNNNNNNNNNNNNNNNNNNNNNNNNNNNNNNNNNNNNNNNNNNNNNNNNNNNNNNNNNNNNNNNNNNNNNNNNNNNNNNNNNNNNNNNNNNNNNNNNNNNNNNNNNNNNNNNNNNNNNNNNNNNNNNNNNNNNNNNNNNNNNNNNNNNNNNNNNNNNNNNNNNNNNNNNNNNNNNNNNNNNNNNNNNNNNNNNNNNNNNNNNNNNNNNNNNNNNNNNNNNNNNNNNNNNNNNNNNNNNNNNNNNNNNNNNNNNNNNNNNNNNNNNNNNNNNNNNNNNNNNNNNNNNNNNNNNNNNNNNNNNNNNNNNNNNNNNNNNNNNNNNNNNNNNNNNNNNNNNNNNNNNNNNNNNNNNNNNNNNNNNNNNNNNNNNNNNNNNNNNNNNNNNNNNNNNNNNNNNNNNNNNNNNNNNNNNNNNNNNNNNNNNNNNNNNNNNNNNNNNNNNNNNNNNNNNNNNNNNNNNNNNNNNNNNNNNNNNNNNNNNNNNNNNNNNNNNNNNNNNNNNNNNNNNNNNNNNNNNNNNNNNNNNNNNNNNNNNNNNNNNNNNNNNNNNNNNNNNNNNNNNNNNNNNNNNNNNNNNNNNNNNNNNNNNNNNNNNNNNNNNNNNNNNNNNNNNNNNNNNNNNNNNNNNNNNNNNNNNNNNNNNNNNNNNNNNNNNNNNNNNNNNNNNNNNNNNNNNNNNNNNNNNNNNNNNNNNNNNNNNNNNNNNNNNNNNNNNNNNNNNNNNNNNUAGGAGAUAACUAAUGGAUAGAAAUCCAAAAGCUUAUCAAGUAUUGGCCGUUGGAAGUUGUCCAAAGGAAAUAAAAACCAAACUUUGCAUUAAUGAACCGUUAAUGAAAAACGACUACCUUACCUUCCAGGUGCGAGAAAUUUCCAUGAGAUUGCAUCCAAGCCAUCACGUAACAUCCAUACUUUGAGAAACUAAAAGUUUUAGCCAAUCAUCCUCUGAGGAAAAGCCCUCAGAGGCUGUUUGGCUACUAAGAAAAUAGAAAUGGGGAAGAACAGGAGAAGAGAGAAAAACAAAGCUUUAUAUAUUCUAAGUUAAUGUACACAGGAUCGAUCCUCAAUCAUCCCAUUUUUCGUCUGUUGGAGGUGUUGUGCACCUCUAUAUAUAGCAAAAUUACAAGAUAAAGCUUUAUGUCGGCUGAAUACAAGGUUACAAAAGGAAUUUACAUGAGAAAAUAUCAAGCUAAAAAUAUUUGGGAAGUCGGUGGUGCGUGCGUGGAGAAACAGAGGAUUCAAAGGAAUUUCGCAAUGUGAAUUUCACAUUGCGAAAUUUUCGCAAUGUGAAUUACUCAUGAUGCGAAGUGCCAUAUUUUCGCAUCAUGAGUUAAUUCACCUUGCGAAAUGGCAAAAUUUCGCACCAUGAAGAAAAUCUCAUUGCGAAAAUUUCGCAAUGUGAAAUUCACCUUGCGAAAUUGGUCAUUUGGCAUGAUGCAGUUGCCUUCCGAAGGCCAUAUCUUCCUCAUUUCAGCUCCAAAUCAUACACGGUUUGAAGCGUUGGAUUCUUGACUUCCUAAGCUUUCAAAAUGGUAUAUAGUAUGUAGAAAAUGGAACUUCAGGAAGUGCUCCAAAAGUGUGAAAGAAGAACUGAAGGCUGUUUUCCUUCNNNNNNNNNNNNNNNNNNNNNNNNNNNNNNNNNNNNNNNNNNNNNNNNNNNNNNNNNNNNNNNNNNNNNNNNNNNNNNNNNNNNNNNNNNNNNNNNNNNNACUCAUGAUGCGAAGUGCCAUAUUUUCGCAUCAUGAGUUAAUUCACCUUGCGAAAUGGCAAAAUUUCGCACCAUGAAGAAAAUCUCAUUGCGAAAAUUUCGCAAUGUGAAAUUCACCUUGCGAAAUUGGUCAUUUGGCAUGAUGCAGUUGCCUUCCGAAGGCCAUAUCUUCCUCAUUUCAGCUCCAAAUCAUACACGGUUUGAAGCGUUGGAUUCUUGACUUCCUAAGCUUUCAAAUGGUAUAUAGUAUGUAGAAAAUGGACUUCAGGAAGUGCUCCAAAAGUGUGAAAGAAGACUGAAGCUGUUUUCUUCACUCUGUUUUCCUCUUCUCCAUUGCUUGUGCUCGUGUUUCCACUUGAAAUUCAAGCCUGUAAUCAUCCAUAAUCCUUGCUUAACUCGCCCAAAUAGCUCCUCCAUCAAUUGGCAUGCUUGAAUUGGUUCAUAAGCUGAUAAAAACAUGUAAACUUGCCACAAAAAUGGUUAAAACCAAUUACUAAGGACCUUAAUGAAUUAAUUGGGUUAAAUGAAUAUGAUUACUACUCAAAGGUGCUUAAAACCAUUAUUAUUAGGUCUACAAAAUAGCACUUUUUGGUAGUAAUCAGAGGAACAUGAAGAUGAGGUAAAUUCCAACUCUAAUUCUAAUAAGUUUCAAGAUGUACUUUAAGAAUUAUAUUUCGAUAUUGAAAAUCUUGGGUUAAAAAAUGCCUCUCUUAAGAAAAAGAUUUUUUGUUUUCAAAAUGAACUCAAUGAGCUUGAGGAAAAAUUUGAAAAGACAAAAAACUCAUUUGAAAAGGAAAAUAGAGAGUUGAAAAAGAAAAAUGAAUGGUUAAUAUUCUUUCUACAAAAGUUCUCAAAUGGUCAAAAAAACUUUUGAUAUGAUUUUGGCAAGUCAAAAGUGCAUUUUUGAUAAAAAAAAAUAAAAUAAACAAAAAAAGCUAGGCUACAAUCCUUUCAAAAAUAAAAAAAUAUUUAAGAAUUAUUUUGUAAAGGAAGCCUCUAGCUUUUCACUUUCAAAAAUUUGCAAUCUUUGUGAAAGAGGUCACAUUAGUGACAAUUACCCUUUAAGAAAAACCCCUCAUGUUCUUCAAAACUUUAAAUUAAUUUGAAUUCCAAAUGCCGGAAUGAUUAACCCUCUAGGACCCAAAAAGAUAUGGGUACCAAAAGUUACUUAAUUUGUUUUGUAGGGAUCCAUGUAAGAAGAAGAAGGAUAUGCUUACCUUGGAAAUAAUGCAUUGAUAAUAUUGGUAAUGGUAUCUCUUCUAAAGCUUAAUUUGCAAUAUCAUGUUAUCAUUUUGCCAACACUUGGUAUAAUUUUUGCUAAUAAUAUAACAUUUGGUAUCACAUUGAUAAGAUUGAUAUAAUUUUUAAACCAAGGUUUGGAUUAAAAAGAAGUUUUUUUAAUAUACCUAGCUAAAAUCUAAUUAUCAUAUGCUUGUAUGCUCUAAUAAUGUUAUUCAAUACAUGCUAUAUUUUUUUUAAAUGCAUAUGUUCUCCCAUAUAUUUUUCCAAAUCAUGUUUUAAAUUGGGAAUGCUCCAAGGUUGAGCACUCUUUUAUUUGGAAAAUGUUCUUAAAUGAAAAAUGGGGAGAUUCAUUUCCAUGAGAAAUUAUAUUAUGCUUAUUGUUUAUUUUUAAUUUUUGAUAUUAUGUGAUUCCUCUUAUAUACUUUAUUGAGACUUUUUGUUGAUGACAAAAAGAGGGAGAAGUAAUGGUAGGUUGCUAACUUGGGAAGAAAUGUUAAUAUUGUUUUAACAAUCCUAUCCAUAGUGAUGCAAUGCGCUUAAUUUGUCAUAUUUGCAUGCAUCAUGUUCAAUAAUAAUAUCUUGUCAAUUGUUAAAUUGUUGUUUAUGUUAUUUAUGCUUGAUUAUAUCAAUUUGAGCACCCUUAAUAUACUCCUUGAAGUUUAUAAACUUGAAUAUUUUCUAAAUUCAAAGGAGCAUAUAUUGAGGGGAAGCUUUUUAGCAACCUUGGUUUUGUCAUCAUAAAAAAGGGGGAGAUUAUGAAACCAAUGUUUGGUUAAUCUCGAUUUUUAUGAUAACAAAACAAGGUUUGGAACUAAUGAUUAUAUUUCAAGUUUGAUUAGGUAAGAAGAUUUCUAAAAUGACAAUCACAAAGACAAAAUCAAGCAAAAAAAAAAAAUCAAUAAUAAGAAGAAGACUUCAAAAAGAAGUGUUUUUCAAGACCCAAGCGUUAUAAGAUUUAUUUGUAAGGUUGUUAGUACACUAGGUCUUUAAUGCAUUACAUUAUUAAUUUAUGCACCAAAAUCAUCGAAAAAUAAUUUUGGUUUAAAUCCUUUAAAAUUGAAUGAUUUCAUGUUUUCAACUAAAACCUUGUGUUAAAUGUUUUCCAAACUUGUUUAAAAGGUUUUAAUUUGAAAAUGAUGGUUGUUGAGCCAAAAACGACUCAAUCAGUUGAACUGGAUGAGGAAUUGAUCGACCAAUUCAACUCAACCGGUUGAGGGGUGAUUCAUGCCCGAUUGGUGUUCUAAUUGAUUCAACUCAAUUGAUGUGCUUUGAUCUCAAUCCUCAGACGGGAGUAAUCAACAAAAUUUAUAAACCUAUUUCACCAUAUACCGGGGUAGCAUUUAGUAAGCAUAGUAUAGUGACUCUAGGAUCGUCCACAGAGAUGGGUUUUCACUUCGCAAUUGAUAUUAGUUCAAAAAUUGAAUUAGUGCUUUUUCUUUUCUUUGUUAGCUUUAAAAGAAGACAUAAGUUUGAAUGAAAAUGGAUGGUAUUAAGCUAACCUAACAUAAAGUAACUAAAAUUAACUAGAAAGAAAUUAGAAAGAAAGGUGUUUCUUGGGAUUUCAGGUUACUAGGAUCAGGUGCCAACUACAAAGAGGGAGAUUCCGGUCACUUGAAUCUUUUCCUUGCAUUCGGAAUUUAACUUAUAGUUAUUUCCCGAACCGGUGUGAUACAGAUGCUUGCCAUUAAUGGUUUCAACGCUAAAUCCCUCUCAUUGAUACACCUUGCAAUGGCUCGUACCUCUCACCUAGUAUUUGUCAUUCAAGGUGAUCCUUACCAUCGGAUCAUCCUUCACAAGUGAACAAGAGAUAACAAUUAGACCUCCAUGGAGCAAGAUUGCAAGCAAUAAGAAUCCAUGGAAUCCGAAAGUUUACCAAGUAUUGGCUAUUCAUGGUAAUCCUAGUUAACUAAAAAUAUAAAAACCAAAAACGGAUCACACUUUCUCUUCAUUAAAAAUGGAAACAACAAAAUCUCACACUUAUGUAGCCGGAACCUUAUUUAGCUUCCUUCACCUAAGAAACAAAAAGCCUAGCCACUCAUCCUUUGAGAAAACAUCUCAGAGAAUGUUUGGCUAGCAAGAAAAUGAAAAUGAAAGAGAAGGAAAAACAGAGCAAGGCUCUGUAUAUUCUAUAUAUUGAUCGAUUCUACAUACUUAUAUAUCUAUAUCUUUUACAAUGGAUGCAAGGGAAUAUAUAUAGAGAAGUUUUUCCAACCUUCCUAGCUAAGAAAUCUUAUGGUUGGUGGAUUACAAGGAGAAGAAUGGAAAUUUAUACAAAAAUAUCUGAAGAAAAGAUCUAAAAGAGUCGGUGCACAAAUAUCCCAGUUCGCAUGUAGAUUUCGCACGUUGCAUGGUGACUUGCGAAAAUCUUGCAAGUUGAUUUCGCAACUUGGAAUCCAUUUUCGCACGUUGAGCUCCAAGUUCGCAAGUUGCAAAAUCACUUUUGCAAGUUGGGCUUCUCUGUGACUGUGCGGCUGUAUUCCAUUUCCAUUUCGCAAGGUAGGCUUUAAUUUCGCACGUUGGAGUUCCAAAUUCGCAAGAUGUGAAUUUGUCCUUCAACUGGAUGCAGUUGUCUUGCGAAGGUCAUAUCUUCCUCAUUUCAGCUCCAAUUCAUACACUGUUUGAAGUAUUGGAUUCUUAACUUCCUAAGCUUUGAAAUGGUAUAUAGCAUGUAGAAAAUGGACUUCGGAAAGUACUCCAAAAGUGCGAAAGAAGACUGCAGCUGUUGUCCUCUGUUUUCUUCACUCUGUUUUUCCUCUCUCCGUUGUUCUUUCCUUGCAUACUUUGAACGACUUUGGCAAAGGGCUAUGGAGCUCCAAAGCUUGGUUCUUCAUGAAUUUGAGCUUCCAAAAGCUUUGUCAUGAACUAUAUACAGCUCUCCCUCAUUCUUUGAUUGCUUUGGUGUAGCUAAAAGCUAUCAAAAACACCAAAAUUUAACACAAUUUGAUUAGAAACGAUUGCAAUGGUCCUUAACAUGUCAAUUGAGUUAAAAGAUAAUAAUUACUACUCAAGAGUGUUUAAAAGAGUUAAUUACAAGCUACAAAAUAGCACUUUUUGAGUAGUAAUCAAGGGGGUGAAAAAACUCUCUUUCUUCUAGAACAAUUGUUCAACUGGUCAAGGUCCAACGUUCACCUGUUAAACAUUAAAUACUAACGGUUAGUCAACCGGUUGACCCCCAACUCGAUCGGUCGAACCCCCAACAGUUAGUUUGGUCGUUUUCCUCUAUAAAAAGGCUCAAAUCUUCAUUGUUUCAAGAAAUUGACCUUCUUAAACAUUUCUUGAAUGUAUUUGAAUAUUUGGAGAUUGUUUUUUGAGUGCACCAUUAUUUUAAAACUUGCAUAUCUUUAGUGCACCAUUCAAUUCUAGUUUUCUUGUAUCAUUUGAGCCUAAAGUUUUGUACUAAAAUUUUGUGAGAAUAUUUCUUAUCCUCGUUUAUAAAUUCUUGAGAAGAAAAGUCUAAGUAUGAGAUAUCACUAAGGAAUUCUCAAGUGUGGGGCAUCACUUGAUGAGUUGUUCAAAAGUGGGGUAUCUCUUGAGAAUUGUAAAAGGUGCUUGGAGCUAAAAGUCUAAGAGGGUGGAUUGAAACCAUAAUCCAAUUGUAUUACUUGAAGGCUUGUGUUGGAAACCUUGAAUUAGUGAAACCUCAAACUUAGGAUUGAAGCUAUAGGAGAGUGGAUGUAGGUCAGGUUAUGUUGAACCACUAUAAAAAUUUUGUAUUUGCAUUCUCUCUUCCCCACUCUCUUACUUUAUAUGCAAUUAUUUUUAUAUUGUUUUAUUAUAUAUUUGUAUAUAAUUGUCUCUUACAUUCACAUAAUUUAAAUUUGCAAAAAGAGGUCAUCACUUUAUUCACUCCUUUAGGGUGAUUAUCUUAGUUUGGAUUAAUUACUUUUUCUAACAGUAUCUACAUUUGAUUUGAGUCAGAUUUUUCGCUCAUUUGAAAAGAAACACUCAUAUUUGAGUUCUUCGAACACCUCAUUCCAUACAUAAGAGCCUCGAGUACAUCAUUAAGAAAAUAUAUACAUUUAAAUAAGUAAUCAUUUGUGGAACCUUGUAAAUGAAAAAAUGUGUAUAAGAAUAAAAAACAAUUCUCAUAAAAUUUAGAACUUACUUUUACUAGGAUUUUGGGUUUUUUUUUCAUUUUACACGAUAUCCUAAUUUUCUUUCCCAUUAUAUUUUCAUUCAUUUUUGUAAAUUACACCCUUGAUACACAUAAAUGAAAAUUAGAAUAGCGAAUUAUAAUAUUAUAUAGAAGAGAAAAAUCUAAAUCCUCUCUUGAUUAAGUUUUUAUUUUUAUUAAUGUUUUCAUAACUAUAAAAAUUUAAAUUAUAUUUUUAUUUAUAAUAAAUCAUUUCAAGACAUUUCCAUUCCUUCUUUGAGUGUUCCGACCAAAUAAUUCUAAUUUUUGAAAUUUGUAUCUCAUUUUUAGAAAAAAGAAUAAAUAAAUAUUAGGAUGUAAUCAUGUAAAAAUAAAUUAUGAUUAGAGGAAAAAAACAUAAUGACACAAACUAAAUAGACAUCAUAUUACUUAAGAAUCCCAGAUUCAUUAUGUAAUUAAGAGUGAUAUUUAAAAAAAAUAAAUUAAAGAUAUUUAUCAAUUAAAAAUAAUUGAACCACCCAAUGAAAAGUGGGUCAAGGUGCUCCCACAUGGGGCUGCAGCAACACUUCUGCUAGAUAUUCUCACCCACAAAAGUUGAAUGGGGAAGCCAACCAUGGGCCAUGGACCCUAAAAAAAUUAUAUUAUUUUACCACCCAUUGACCUCCAAGUAUGAUUAAAUAAAUUAUGAACGUGAGGCUGAAAAGAGGCCACAUUCAGAUACCUCAUCGGUGAGGUAAGAGCCAUUUAAGCCUUUGCCCUCAUUGGCUUCUCAUGGCUCUUAAGUAUGGUGGCACUAUUUCUCUUUUGAGCUUCACCUCACCUCCAAAGGACCAAUGUGAAAAAUAUCAUAAUAAACACAUGGGGUUGAACAAGUUGUGGUUCUUUUUGUCUUUUUUUUGGGUUGUAAGUGCUUUGUCCAAAUCAAGAUACCCAAAUUUGAACAAAAACUUUAGUUCAUGUCACUUCAUUUAUUCAAGAGAUUUGGGAACAACCAUCAAUUUUAUUUUAUUUUAUUUUUUCUGUAAAUUGAUGAAUAUUUGCAUAUGGGUGUUGAAGGUUUAUUUGAAAGUUAGGUGGCUCUUGGCACCUUCCAUUCCAAUGAUAUAGACCAACUUGUUUAAUGUUAAUCUAGUUUCCAAAUAGAACUAUUCCUACCAACAUGUUCUUCACUUUUUCAAAAUUGGAAAAUGUUGAACCCAAUAUCAAGCUCCUUUUUAUGGUGUUUUCUUUUUUCUUUUUCCUUUUUUAUAAUUUAGUUCCCCAUUUGUUUGUACCAUCGUCUAAUGAUAUAGGUCGGGUUUUACUCCAAUUAUUUGAAAUGUGUUUAGAUAACAUCAUUUUUCAAUUAGGAGUGAUUCUGACUAUUUCUAGAAUCAGUCAAUUAGUUAAUCAUAGACAUAUUUUAUUUAAUGGUUAUAUAGUAUAUAUACGAAUGAAGAAAAAUUCAUAAUUUUAAUUCUUCUUCUUUUUCCUUUUUACUUAUUUGCUCCCGAGAAACUAUCAAAACAAGGCUUUUCACUAAUUUCAAUUUAAAGGAUUGAUUAAUCAUAGAAAUUAGAUUGGUUCGAGAACAAAUGAAUUGUUAGUCAUAAAAAUUCAUAAUUUUAAUUCUUUUUUUUUUAUUUACUUAUUUGCUCCUAAGAAACUAUCAAAACAAGACUUUUCACUAAUUCCAAUUUAAAUGAUCGAUUAAUCAUAAAAAUUAGAUUGGUUCGAAAACAAAUGAAUUGUUAGUCAUAAAAAUUCAUAAUUUAAAUUCAUUUUUUUUUUUACUUAUUUGCUCCUAAGAAACUAUCAAAACAAGACUUUUUACUAAUUCCAAUUUACAGGAUCAAUUACUCAUAGAAAUUAGAUUGGUUGAAAAAUAAAUGAAUUGUUAGUCAUAAAAUAUUAUUAUUGUCGGACUUAUUAUUAAUAUAGAUAAAAUGUGCCAUUUCAUGAUAAUUAUAGUCCUAUAGCAAAUAAAUAGUCUAUACAAAAUAAUAAUUACGCAUGGUUUUUUCAUGGGCUUCCUAGAAAAAAAUAUGUUAAAUAGGGAUGAAAUUAUUUUUAAAUUUUAAAACAAUUUUACUUUUUAAAAACUUACAAAAUUCCCUUAAAAUUAAAUUUUUUUAAUAAAAUGUUCCUAAAAGAGAAGUACGUAUCUAUCACUUUUAUUACCUCAUUUAAGUGAUAACUAGUACAAUAAUUUUUUUAAAAAAAAAAUAUUUUAUUGAAAACAAACACAUUAUAAAAAAGAAAAAGGAAAACCUUAAAAUGGAUAUGCAAAAGUAAUUUUUUUUCUUAAAUUCCAAAUUUAGAUAUUUUAUUAAAUAUUCAUCAAAUCCAUACUUCUUCACUUUUCCAUGUUUUUUUUAUUUAUAUGUAUAUAUAUCAAAUUUGUAGGUCUAAUCAUAAAACUUAAAAUAAAAUUUAGAAAAUACUUUAAAAAAUCUAAAAAUCUUUUAUAAUUUUGAAAAAUCAGUGAUAAUAUUACUCUUGAAAAACCUUGAUAGAUGAUUAUCUUAAAAAUAUUUUUAAUACAAAUGUUUUCAUUACAAACGGUUCAUGUAAAAAUACGUGAAAUGCACUAUAAUUCUAUUUAUUUUAUUUUAAAUAGCUUUGACACACAAAAAAGAAAAAGAAGAAGCCAUAUUUUAGUAGGAAAAGCAUUAAUUUGAUAAAUACUUUAGGAAAAAAAUCUUGAUUUAUAAAUAUAUUUUUUUUAGAAAGAUAUCUAUAUUUAUAAUUUUUUUUAAAAAAUAAUUACUUUUUUGUUUUUAUUUGGUAAACUCGAUUUUAUUAGAUAAAAUAAAGAAUUAGGGCAGGCUGAGAAAGCCAAAAGGGUCUAUAAAAGAAGACGGCAGAGUUGAAAGCAGCAGUGGUCAGCCAGUGAAGUGAUCGGGCUUCCCUUCCCUCGUGCUCUCCGCCAUUUCUCGCUGAAUCUCCGAUCCACAUCCUCUUCACUCUUCGGUAAGAUCUCCUUCUCCAUCGCUUUAUUUACUUCUCUCUUGUAUUAUUGUCUUGCUUCUGCUCAUUUUUCUAUGCUUUCAUUCCCAUUUCCUUAUCUUUCUGAGGGCGACCAUGACUGUAAUACCCAGAUUGGGUGAUCUCGGAAAACUCGAGCGGUGAAUGCAGAAAAACCUAAUUCUUUUGUUGACUAAAAUUUUACGCUUAAAUACCAGGGUCUGGAUGCAAUCUUAUGAAAGUUGUUGAACGAAUUUUCAGAAAAAGGCUGUUUUUCUGAAAUAAGUUUCAACACCUUGUGGUUAUAACCGUUUUGGGAAUUUGAAAACCCAGUUCGAAACUUGCAGGAAAGCCCCUCUGUUAUUCUUAUUAUCAUCAUUAUAGAAAAUGAUUUUCCCUGCAACGCAAGGGAUUCUCACUACAUUUGAUUUUCUUUCGAAUUUUCUGGGUAAAUCAAAUAAGAGAUGAGAGAUUUCAGAUUCAUUUUUGUUUGUUUUUCUUUGCCCAGUAUUCUUUCUGAAAAUGAAUACCAGAAACGUGUUUGAAAACGCUUACUGAAUACAAAAAAAUCCCAGCUUUUGUUCCAGAGCAACAGCUUCUACAAUAAAAGUUGUUACUAAAGUAAUGAGAUACUGGGAAAUUUUUUUAUAGAGUCGACUUCCUCUAGAGCGAUGUUGUUAAGAUCGGAUCACACUCUGCCCCAUGUCUUCUCCUUUAUUUUCCCCAGAUUUUCUAAAGUUCACCACCUUUUUGGCCUAUUUCAAAUACUGUUCAAAGAUAAUGAAAAUACUGGGAUGAACAAACUUUCUGACCUUUUCCUUGAAAUUGAAUGUAGCAUGACCUGAGCACCCCUCUUCCAUUUAGAUUUCCAUCAUCAAGCUGAAUACAUGCCUUUUCUUGCCAGAAGUUGGAUUUUUAUGGAACAUGUUGUCAACUAGCUUUAUUGCUAUUGUAGAAGUCCCAGAUUCCUACAACCUCCUUCGGGCUUGCAUGUACGUGGGCCUCCUGCUAAAUGAACCUCUGAAACCGUGUUAGACAAUCAAUUUCUUUUAUAUAUAUAUAUAUUAAUUUCUUUUAUUAGAAACAUGAGAUACAAGGGCUGUAGCACACCAAUUGGAAAUUCUCAAUGCUAUACAUGAUAAAAUUAGUUCAACACAUAUCAGCCAUAUGUUUUAUAAAAGUCCCUACUACCAUUCUUUUAUUGGUUUGCUUAAAAAAAAAAUGACAGUAUGAAAGAUAAUUUUGGCAUGAAUCCUUUGCGGUGUACAGGGUGGAUGAAACUGGUUUAAGAUCUUAAGAAUUGGUUGCAGAAUGUGUGUGCCUUGCUAGUAUUUGUUGUGCAGAAUGUGUGUGCAUUGCUAAUAUUUGUUGAAGCAAUAAGUUGUGUUUGGCUCUUAAGGCUUAUUUGAGAUCUUUCCUGAGAUAGGUGUCUGUUGUGACCAUGCACCAUGAUUGUUUAUGUUACUGCAUCUUCUGAACCCCCAUUACCUUUGCCCCCUAUGGGCCUGUUGGUGCUUCACUACCUUGGCUCCCAUUGCAGCUUGCUGCCAUUAGUUUUUUCCAUUGCUGGCUAGGUCCAGGUUGCGUAAUGAUAGAUAAUGAGUCAUUAGUCUACCACUCAAUUUUAUGAGAGAGCUCCUCAAAUUGUUCUAUGAAUAUUAAAGGAUUAUUAUAGGAUGAAGGAGUGGUAAAGCAUAAAGUCAAAGGCCAUGUUAGGAUCUCAAACUCCUACAUCAGGUCAAGUAUUUUUCUAUUGAUGGGUAAGGAAAAUGGAAUUACCUGUCCAUGUUGCAAGUGCAAAAUUACUGGGUUAGGGUUGAAGGUAACCUAGAGCAUUUAAUCUUUUCUCUGCAAGCUAUGUCUUUAUAUAAAUUCCUUCCACUUCUGCAUUGUUUAUAAUAUUUGAUAGGUACAGAUAUGCAUUUUAUUUCUGUAUUGCCUCUCAAUUUUAUAUUAGUUAAAUGUUGUAAAGUUGGAGCAUCACCUAAUAUUAGAGACUCCUUCAUGCAGUUGCAACAAUCUCCAAGGUUCAGUUCAUUAGUUUUAAUUUUGUAUACAUCCCAUGUAAAUGACUGGAAAACUGGAUUGCUGCUGUAUGAUAUCGUGGUCUCUGAUACUGUUUGUGUCACCAGAACCUCGUAUUUAUUCCUAGAUUUUGCAGAAGAAGUGUAAUAACACCCAUUAAGCGGAUCUUGGCUUUGUUGAAACAAUCGACAAGACAAGACAAUAUUAGGCAUUAGUUAAAAAUAUGGAGCCUCGAGUGAAGAGCUGGGAGCCACUAGCUAGCUUCUUCUCAUAGUGCUCCAGACAUCAAUUGCCUUGUUUUUCUUGCAGAAAUGGAUGUCCAUGGUCCAAUUUCUCAGUAAAUUAUAACAAGGCAUAAAUAAAAAUUGAUGCUAUUCAAGGUAUCAUUAUGUCGCCUUUGUAAUAAUCUACCUUCUGUUUCAUUGUGCUUGGAACAAGUCCAAGAGUAAACAUCAAAGAGCCUUGCAACACUGUGAGAGUCAUGUCAAGGAGAAAUGGAAUGUUUUUCACUUUAUAUAUCUCAAAAUUGGUUAUAAACAUCAGAAGUCUCACAUGGCAGAUUCACAAAAAGCUUCUAUUCUCUUAGCAUGUUAGUUGCAAAUAUUUCAAGAUGCAUUUCUUAUUUUCUUUGCCUAUGCUUAUUUAUCUUGUUGACCACUGCUACAAACCUUAUGGUUACAUUUGUUCAUGUAACCCUGUUAUUGUUAGUAACCUCAACAUAGAUAAAGAAAAUGAAGUUAAGGGCCCUUUAUAAAACUGAAAAUUUUAGCUCAAAAAGUUUUUGGUGUUGAAUUUGCUUAAAGAGAAGUCCUAUUGGCAUCAUUUGAAUCCUUAGUAUUGAAUUCAAUUAAACUGGUAAAUUAAUCAAGAGAAAUUGAAUUUUGAAAAUUACUUAUUUUACAAGAACGCUCUUGCACUCUUAUGUUAGCAUUUUUUUAACAUUCUUUUGUUAAGUAUAUGUAUAAUACAGCAACUUGGUCACAAUCUAUUUCCCCUCAUUUCACCACAGUUUCUUAUUUGUGACCAAAUUAAGGUUUGGUUACUUGAGGAUUUUUACUUAGACUAAGGUCAAUUUAUCUUGGCACGCCAAAGGUGAAAAAGAAAAAGAAAAAGAAAAACUGGUUUAGACCAAUUCAGACAACUCUUUUUCGUACUCAAAUGACAGAGGUAACUGUUCAAGAAAGACAGUUAGUUUGGUGAAAGAGUUCUAAAAGGUUUUGAUUUGGAGAAGUUGGAAAUAUGGUAUUUAGAAUUCAUAAAAUUUUAAACUACCUUCUUUUGAGGGCUGCCCUUGUUCUGCCUUUAAGCUUUGUUGAAUUUAAGUGUUUUUAAAGAAAAUCUUCUUAAUUCUUAGCAGAUUAUUGAACAAGCUGUUUGUAUCCAGGGUAAUCAUGUCUACCGUAAAUCUGCCCACCCAUUGCAUGUUCAGAAGUGCAACCCAGAACCGAAUUGCCAGUGCCUUCAUUAGGAGCCCAUCAUCUUUGGGAUCUGUAAAGAGCAUCUCUAAAGCUUUUGGCUUGAAAUCUUCCCCCUGUUUCAGAGCAACUGCAAUGGCAGUAUACAAGAUUAAGCUGAUUGGACCUGAAGGUGAAGAGCACGAGUUUGAUGCCCCAGAUGAUGCAUACAUAUUAGACUCAGCUGAGAAUGCAGGUGUUGAGCUACCUUAUUCUUGCAGGGCUGGGGCGUGCUCUACCUGUGCAGGGCAAAUGGUUUCAGGUUCAGUGGACCAGUCUGAUGGAUCCUUCCUUGAUGACAAGCAGAUGGAGAAGGGUUAUUUGCUAACUUGCAUUUCAUACCCAACUUCAGAUUGUGUGAUUCACACUCACAAGGAAGGUGAUCUUUAUUGAGUGGGUAUGGUUUUCAAUUCUUGUUGUCUUGAUUGUGAUGGUACAAACUUUAAUGGAUGGUUGUACUUAGAUUUUUGGUCAUGUUUCUGGUGCUAUCUCAUCUCAGUUAGGUCUUAUUGGCAGUUGGUUUGCAGGCUUAUAUUUCUUACUUAAAAGACACUGAAAAUUGAUUAUCAUACUUCAAAGGCACUGAAUGAUGAUUGCAUAAAUGUUCUGUCGGUUCCUGCAUUUAGUCGAGUGAUGAACCUUUGUAGGGUACUUCAUUCCCUUGCUGAAACAAGGGUCUAAUUUGCAAAGUAGUAGUUUAGCAUCUCAAACCUUUAGAGGACAGACAUGCUAUGCAAGGCUUGUAGUUCAACCUUCCACUUUGGUAAAUAUGCAUGUGAAUGUAGUUGAAAUAUCACAUCAUAAAUUACGAGACAGCGACGUGAUUUGCUUUUAGCUCUAGAUCAAGUUGAAUGGCAUGGAAAGUCUUACUUUUGAGAGUGAGAUUAUUGACAGGGUCUCUUGGAUCUUGAAAGAGUGUUGAAUGGGAAGGUGAUUGAAGUAGUCAAUCUGAAUAGUUCGAUUUAAGGGUCUGUUGGGAGAGGUCUUUUGGAUCUAGCAAUUGAAAAUCAACAGUCUGGAAUGAACUUUGAGAGGUUUGAUGGUUCACCAUUAUUGAUAAGUGAUGCUAGUGUGGGUGUGGGUCCUCCUUAGCUUAACCUUUACUAAGAGGACUAAGAAGAGUAGCAUUAAUAAUUUUGGCAGGGAAAGGAGAACAAAUAGUGGAAGCUAGUGCAAUUAUGUUGGCCGAAAGGGCAUAUAGAGGGGAUGGAUGAACUAGAAUCAUCACUGAACUUUUCACAAGAAGACAGGAUGGGAAGAUGUUGGGACAAGAAUAAAGAACCUUUAUAAUACUAUUGAAAAGAUAGGAAGGGAAACAUGAAGAGAUGUAUUUUCCCCCCUGAAUGACCCAACUUUAGAAUGGAAAAGGAAAGGGAAUACCUGGAAAAUAAUUCAGAGGGGAGGACUUUCUUUCUUAAGUUUUUGCCUGCAGAAUACAUUCAUAUUACCCAAAUAACCAUCUUAACUGAUCGUGUGAGACAGGCUAUGCAUUGAUUGUUUGCUUGUUUUUAUGUGUUCCCUCAUGUUUAUAAGAAUGGAAAAUAAAGAGGCUCCCCUUUGAUUCAAUAGAAAUCUUAAGCUGAAGAAUAGUGGUGUCAAAUGCAGGAGAGCUUAAGGCUGAGUUAGGUAUUUGGCUCCCAAUGCUAGCAUGUUGAUAAAUUAUCAGUGGUUGUGCUAGAAAUUUGAUAGGGUUCAAGAUAUUUGUCAGCUUGGCAAAGGGUUCCCUCUAGGUAGAUUCCAUUAUCAACUGAAAACUACUUACAUGAAGGUGAUUUCUGCAGACACAGUUUCUCAUGAUUGGCUAGUAUUUUUGGGAAAAGAUUUCCCAGCAUCAGAAGCCAUAAUAAUAGCUUGGAGAGAGGCCCACUAGGUAAUACAUCUUUUUAUCUUGUCACUCAAUCCAAAACCCCUGCCCCAGCUAAUGAAAUGGAAGAUUUAUUCCCUCUAGAUUUGGGUCACAAGCAAAGUGCAGCUGGUAAAAUUAUGAUCAUUUGGUUGACCAUGCGGGCAGUGCUUGUGUUUUAAUCCAAAUUGCAAUGAGGGUUGUGGUGGAAAGAUUUGGGUGAAUGUUUGAUCUCGUUUACUUUUAUGCUUUUUAGGGGGACAUAUCACAUAUAUGCCUCGUCAAUUAUCGCGUAUCAUUCCAGAUACAUGUGUUAGUGUUGGGGUUCUAUCAUUGUCUCCAUGAAUUGCUUUGGUAUUUAAUAGUAAUUAUACUGUGAAAGGGAUUUUUAGGAUGGUGGGGGAUUGGGUUGAAAAGAGAGGGCUUUUCAUACGAGUAAAAGAUUGGUGCAAGGUGAAAGAAGAAAUGCGGUUGGAAAUAGGCUGCCCCACCAUCUGGGUGGCUUUGAGUCAUUUUCAUGGCCUAGGAAUCCAAAGCCAUUAGGAAAACCAACCUCAUUGUUAGUAACGCGUGGAUGGGUUAUUUUAUACUUUCUUUUUCUCCAACUUUCCUUCCAACUCUUUCAAGGUUUGAAAAGGAAAAAAAAAAAUGAGUAAUUAUAUUUUAGAGUAGUUUUUUUGUUCUCGUUGGUAAUAAAAAAUUGUUUUUUGUUUUUUAUUUUCUAUUUUUAAGAAUAGAAAAUAAGGUGUUUUAGGAAAACAUCUUUUAAUUUUUUUUUAUGUAGUUUUCAUUUAUUUUCUAAGUACUGUUUUAAAAAAUAAUUAUACAAAUAUGUGAAAUAAUUAAAUAUAAAAAUUAUUUUUAAAAUAUAUUUAAAAUUAUUAAAAAUAAGUUAAAAAUAUUUUAACUUUUUAAAUAAAUUUUUGUUCUAUAAAAAUUAAAGAACAAUUUUUAAAAAGAGUUACUAAACAAAUUAAUUUGAAAAAAGAAAAAAGAAAUCAUAAAAUAGAAACCGUUUUACAUACUCAUCAAUCAAAAGUAAUAUUUGACUUGAUUAAAGGUAAUGUUUAGUAAUACCUAUAUUAUUAAAAAGUAAUAUAUAAAUAAAUGAAAAAUAAGCCGUUUUAUCCCAAAGUAUACAAAAUUUUAGUUAUUUUUAGAUAUAUAUAAGAAGUUUAAAUUUUAUAAAUUUGGGUUUUUAUUGGAAUUUUAUAAAUUCGGAAUUCUAAAAUUUAAAAUAUGUUUAAAUAUAGGUAUGAAAUUUAAAUUUUACAAAUAAUAUGGUUUUUUGAAAGGAGAGUUUAGGGGGAAAAAAGAAGAAAGAAUUAUGUUUUGGGGGUAGAUGGACUCCCAAAUUAACAAAAGGUGCAUGUAACUCUUCAAAUUGAGCCCAAGACCCAAUGAAAGUAUGGAAAUUGAGUUGAAGGAUAUCAUCCUUCAGUAUUUCCAAAAAUGCCCUUUAUUGAUUUUGAGAAAAAAAUUAAUAUUUUUGAAAAAUACUUUUAUUUAAUUUAAUAUUUUAAAAAAAUACUUUUAUGUAAUUUAAUAUUUUUUAAAAUAAUUUUAUUUAAUUUAAUAUUUAAAAAAAUAUUUAAUUUAAUAUUUUUUAAAUACUUUAAUUUAAUGUAAUAUUUUUGAAAAAAAAUUUUAAUUUAAUAUUUUUGAAAAAAAAUUAAUUUAAUUUAAUAUUUAAAAAAAUAUUUAAUUUAAUAUUUUUGAAAAUUACUUUUAUUUAAUUUAGUAUUUUUGAAAAAAAAAAUUAUUUAACUUAAUUUUAUAAAAUAUUUUAUAUAUGUUCUUAAAGGGUAUAUUUAUCCAUUACUAUUUCAUAUCCUUCAACUCAAUUUGAAUAAUUAUAUAGAUGUUUUAUUAAUUUGAGGUUCAUCUACCUUAAAAGAUUGUACGAGACACGUAAGCCAGGUCAAAGUGAAGGUGGCAUGGCCCCCAUAAGGGGUGGCGCAAUUUUAGGUAUCUGGACACUUUAUUUAAUAAAUGAAUGAAAGAAUAAAUAAAUAAAGGGGCUGUGGGCGGCCAUCCCGCGUGUAUUGUCACUUGUCACCGACUUUUUUGAAGUUUGAAACCGAUACACGCCCUGCCAACUGCUUCCCACAUUUUCCUUUCUCUCUCCUACUCAUGAUUGUAAUCUCUCGCCUUUGAAUUUUGACCUCCACGCUGGAAAUGUGAAUUUCGUUUCUAUCUCCGGACUUUCCAUUCAAAUCUUCAUUUCCCCCACGUUAAAAUAUCCACUUUUUGAGAAGUUAAAAAGCUUGUUUUUUAAGCACAAUGAUACUUUUAUGGGUAUCGGACUAGUUUUACGAGAAAAAUAUUACUUUUUGUAAAAAAAAUUAUUUUAGUUUAUACAUUUUUUGUAUUUAAUAAAAUAUUUAAAAAUUAUGAUUUUGAUUUCAAUUCUAAUUUUGAUAGACAAAAUGUUGAUAUGUGGAUCAAUCAUAGGCACAUAGACCAACCGUAUAUUAACAUGUGGAUGAAGGAGAUGUUGCGAUGUUGAAAUAUAGUCUAAUUAUAUAUGUUCACAUGUGGAUCAAGUAGAUGAUAUCACGGGGUCCAUUCAAAGCAUGCCAUGUACCACAAUCAAAUAGGUCAAAUUUGGUAGCAAAUUGAAAGGUUUAGAGCAUUCCGAGUAGUGAAAUUUAAUAGACUAAAGCCAACUUGAGAGGUUUAGAACAAACUAAAUAGCAAAAUUUGAUAGGUUGAAGAGGGUGGCAACUUCAAAGGUCCAAAACAUGCUAAAUAGUAAAACUUGAGAGGUUUUCGAACUUGCUAAGUUGCUACUUCGCAUGUUGAUCUCUCUCUUUCUCUCUCUCUCCCAUAUGAAUUCUAAAUUGACUAAUUAUUGAAGCAUUAAAAAGCUAACUCAAUCAUAUUUUACCACAUAUAUGGCACAAUGGUUGAGGUGCCAUGUGUCAAUGAUAAAAAGAAUUGAAAGGAUUGAAGAAUGUGCAUAAGUUCCUAAAAAAAUUCCUUACCCUUUCAACUGUCAUAUCUUUCUUAUCUAGAGUCCAAAUAGGGUGAUUUAUUGAGGCUUUAGAAAUCUGAUAUGUGAUGUUGCUAGCACUACUGGAGCUAAGGAGGCUAAGUUUGAUACUAAAGGUAAAGCAAACUCAAGCAUAAUACCAACAUUGAGGGGAAUAAAUUCAAGCUUUAAAACUAUGUCUUUUCUUCCAUUAAUAAAUGAAGAUGAAAAAAUGGUUCAUUCAACAGAGGAAGAAGAUGGGGAAGGUUACAAAUGUGAUAAUGGAAAUGAUGAUGAUAAUUUUGUAGAUUUGAAGGAUGAGUGAUGAUCGAUUAUUGUGAAUCCAAGUGUUUUUUAAUGAUGUUUUUGAAAUAUGGACAAAGGACAUAUUUAAAUGUUGAAUCAUUGACAAUUUCAUGUUUUGUUUUGGAAACUUUGGAUUUGGAUAUGUAUUAACAAUCAUGAUGCUUUGUUUUUAUACUUGGAGUUCAUAGGUUUUAUGUUUUUUGUUGAUUAGGUUGAAAUUUUGGAUGAUAUUUGAUGAUAUAUGUGCUUAAGAUAAAUAAAUGAUUAUUAAAAUUGAUUUUAUUCUAUGAAAUUAUAUAUGUAAAAUAGGGUGCCCCUUACUUUACUAAAACUCAUGUCUUAAAUGCACCUUACGUCCCAAGUUCCAAGAGGACUUUGCACCUUGGUGUGUCUUGAGUAUUUUAAAACUGUGUCAAUAUUAAUCAACCAUCAUUUUUCAUAGAAAUAUGUAAGAUGAAAUCGUUUUACUAUUUCUCCCUCUUUUUCCUUUGAAACAUUUUCCAAAUAAAAAUUUGCUCAAUCUUAGAGCAUUUUCAAUUUGAAGCAUGAUUUGAAAAAAAAAAAUGUAAGGGAAUGCGAGAACUUAUGCAUUUUAAAAAAUGCAAUAUAUAGAAUGCAUAGCAUAACAUCAUUAAGAGCAUGCAAACAUAUGAUCGUUCUAUUUAAUCUAAAGUUUUCAUAAAUGAUGACUUUUUUUUAAUCUAAACCUUAGGUUAACAAUUAUACCAAUUUCAUAAAAAUGAUUUAAUAUUUUUCUAUGUAUGAUCAUAACUCAAAAAUGUUAUUAAUUUUGUUUUAUGAAAAUUUCAAUUCAACAAGAUGAUAAGACAUUAUCUCAUUUGUUGAAUAUGGUCAAUUUAAUGAUGACUUACAUUGUCUUAAUUCUUUUAGAAGAUUAUUUGUUUACUUGCUCUUUUUGACAUGGAGUUGUUUUCUUAACUACAUUGACCUUUCAUUCUUUUCCAUUUUCCCUUGACGUUGAGUCAAACUUCAUCAAUAUCCUUCUUCCAAUUUCUAGCUCAUCAUCAUCUUGCACACAUUUUCAAUGAAGAGGGUUAGAUUGAUCAAAUAUCAUAGAUAUCUUUAUAAAAUUGUAUAAAUCAUUUAAUACUAAGAGAUGCUUCUUCAAUUUUUUUUCUAAAACUUUUCUUUUGACUUGAAAAAUAUGAAGCAUUUGCAUUCAAAUGAUAAAUCCAAAGAUAAUAUUCAAAAUAUUUUCUUCAAAGAUGAUUUAUGAAUAAAAAAUGAUAUUUCAUAUCAUCAACAUAUUUUGAACUAUAGGACAUAUACCAUUAUCAAAAUUUACCAAUGUCAAUUGUCUCCAAAAUAAACAUAUCAUCUUUCUUCUUACAUAGAUUCCUAAAAAUACAAAUUAUGUAAUUUUGGCACCCAUAUAUUCUUAGGUCCUAAAGAGUUAACCUUUCCUUCAUUUGAAAUCCAAAAUGAUAUAGAGUUUCAAACAACAUGAGGAGAUUUUAAAAAAAAAAUAAUAAUUAUCACUAAUGUGACCUGCUCUUCCACAAAAAUUGCAAAUGAUUGAAGAUGAAUAACUAAAAGUUUCUUUUACAAAAUCAUUCUUGAAGUAUUUUUUAUUUUAUUUUUAAAAGGCUUGUAGCUCAACCCUUUUACAGUUUCACAUUGACAUAUGUCUUUGGCGGUUUUACAAAAUCAUUCUUGAAAUAUUAUUCAUUUCUAAAACACAAUGGAUAUAACAUAUAGUUUAACAUUUAAUUUCACUAUUUUCUUUUCUUACUUAUUUCACUCUUGGAUUGGCUUUGGAAUGAACACCCCAUUUUUAAUUUUGGUGGGAAUAUGAUAUCCAUUUUGAAUCAAUACUAGUAUGUUGAUGAUAUUGGAUUUGGAACUUUUACUGUUUUAAUUAUUUCUCAUAUUAUUGCAUGCCUUGAGUGUCAAGAUGCUAGCCAAUGAUGGUUAUCUAUAUAUUAUAAUUGGAUGAAAUAAGGUAAUGAAAGUCAAGAUGGUCGAGUGGUCUAAGGCAUCAGACUCAAGUUCUAGUCCUCGAGAUAGGGUGUGAGUUCAAAUCCUACUUAUAACAUUAUUUUUUAGGUUUUUCUUAUUAAUCAACCAUCCCCUUAUUAGACGUCUCAAAAUCAAUAUACUUUAAAAACCAAGUUAUUUUCAGAAAAAAAUAAAAUAAUGGUUAUCUUUUAUUCCUUUUUUGAGAAAAUGACCCAUGGAGUUGUUUCAAGAGAAUGCUCUUUCACCUAGGCACAUUGAAAAAGUCAUGUGAUUGUAGAAUCUUAAAGGUAGAAACAUCUGUUUUACCUAUUGGAUCGAUCCACGAUCUUAGAGGAUGGUAAAAAUUGAAAAUAAUGAUGCUAGAUUUCUUAGCACUUUUACAAAGUAUCAUUAUUUAGAUUAUAAUAUGAGGUGAGAUUCUACGAUACUUACUAGAAAUGUCAUUAUUUAGUAUAUUAUUUUUCAAUCUACGGUGCUUAUUAGAAACGUCAUCAUUUAAUAAGUACUAAUAUUUAGUUAUUAGUUUCUCUAUACGAUUGUUUUUCUAACAUUGAGUACCAUGGGUUUUUCCAAUAUAUAAACAUAUAUCUAAAACACAAAAUACUUUUUCUCGUCUUUUCUUGAGAGCCAAACUCACCCAAUCGAAAAUUUGUAGUGAAAUAUUAUUUAAAGCUUUAUGAAACUUAAUUGUUCUUGCAAUUCUACCUGUUCUUUGGAAAUUCUUUCCACAUGCAAACACGUGUUUGUAACAAAAUUUAAUUUCUUUCCCCCCCUCCCUUUUUUUUUCUUUUCUUUUUUCUUCUCGGCUAUGUCUAUUCUCAUUCAUAUUCAUUGACCACUGUAAAUCCUCAGCAGUAGUACUGGUGCUAAUCAAUGGCGCCGGAAUCGGAAUCAACUAAGGCCGGACCACCGACAACCUCCCACCACCUUCGAUGGUUGCCGUUAUCCUGAAAUGACUGAACCUCAACAAAGUAAAAUAAUAUGGAAUUCAGCAUUGGAGUGACAAGCCAUCACUCGUCCCAUCAAAACCCAUGCAUGGAUUCAAAUAGUCCUGCACGUGUAAAAGCACUUACUAAACUCCAAAAGUCACUUUUCACCUCUUACAAGCCAAUCCAAAUCAAGGAGGCCUUAACUUAUUUUUGCACAAUUAACACAUUGUCUCCUGUCCGACACGUAGAAAAGGACUUAAAAUCAACACAUUUUGGUUUACGUCAACACUAUCAAAAAAAAAAAGCAACAAAAUCAUUGAAAAACAUUCUUGCUAGAAAGAAUGAUCUUUUGUAGCUAACUCAAUUCAAUCUUAAAUUUAAAACAUCAAGUUGUUGAUCAUUUCGUCACUAUCCCUUCUUGUCGGCUUUCCUCUCCCUUUUUAUUAUUGCCCUUGAGGCAUGUUGAAUAUCCCGGGAUUGAUAUGAAAAUUUAUGGAAACCUAGUUCAAACUUAAAAGUAUGUGAAUGGAAAAUGAAAGAAGACUAGUCAAUUAUAAAAGCAAAUUGGGAUUCAUACACUUUGCCACCAAAAAUCUUGACUUAUGGCAUUCAAGAGUAAGAGAAAGAGACAUCAAUCCGAAUUAGGGUUGAUUUUGACCCGCAAUUGAAGUUAGGCAUUCAACCAUAUAUUGAAUCUUCAAUUUCACUUGUGCCUAUACAUUGUUGGGGGGGGGGGGGGGGGGGGGUGGUGGUGGGGUAUUUGUCUCAAUCACCAUAUCUAAUAUGAUUGCUUUAAGAUGUAAAUGAUUGGGACCCAUUCUAGUACUAUUGUAUUCUUUCUCUCUCUUUCUCUCUAUAUAACAGAUAUAAAAGGAGAUUUAUUUUUCAUAAAAUAAAUUAUAAAAAUUUAUAAUAUUUAUUUAUUUAUUUAUAAAUGAAAUUAUUUUUAAUAUAAUUACAAAAUUAAAAAAUUAAAAUAAUAAAUAAGAAAUAAAUAAAUGAGGUGUGAUAAAUUCUCAUAGUCAGCUUAAAGUCAUUUGUUUUGAACCUUCUCUCUUACUAUCCCAAGUCAUAGCUAUUCAUUAAACUUGACUUGCUUAACACAAAUACCCUAUUUGCAAGUCUUGAUUCCUUAAAAAAAAAAGAGAAAAAAAUAUAUAUGAAAAAAAAAAAAGGAAAAGUGGGUUUUCACUCACCAAUUGGAAAAAAUAUAGAAGGUUGAAACCGAUUUUUAUAAAUUAGUUUUAUCUUCAUCAAUUUAAAAAUAUUUUAAAAUAAAUAUAUAUUUUUUAUAAGUUAAAUAAUUAUUUCUUCAAGGAAAAAUUGAGAUUUGAUUCACUAAUAUGAAAAUAUAUGGAAAAAAUAAUUUUCAAAAUUUUAAAUUAAUAUUAUUUUUAUUUAUUUAAAAAUAAUUUGAAAUACAUAUAAUUUUUAAUGAGUUAUUCAAUUAUUCCCAAAAAUACUCAUUUACUUGUCAUGUCAUUUAAAUCAAUUGACAACUAAACUUCUCCAUUUAAAUAUUUUCCUUCUUUUUAAUAUUUUAUUAUUAUUAUUUUAUUUGAAAAUUUUCUUUUUCUAGAAACAAACACAUAGUAGGAUUCUUAUUUUAAUUUCCAAAAAAUUUAGGAAAUAUUAUGCAAAAAAAUUCUAUUUAAUCAUAAUUACCAUUUCAAAUAGUAAUAAGGUUGUUUAUUAAAUAAUAAAUAAUAAAUAAUAAAUUUAGUAAUAUAUAAUUAUUUUAAUUAUGAUUAGUUUAUUUAAUAUAAAAUAAUUAUUUAUUUAUUUAUUUUUAUACUAUAUCUCAAAGUAUAACCAUAUUAUAAAACAUUUUAUAUCCAAAAAAUACUUACAACAAAUUUUAUUCUCUAUUAUAUUAAAAAAAUUAUUAAUAUUAUAUAAUAAAUAUAAAUUUAUUAUUGAUUUAUUUAUUAUCAAGAAUAUGAAUUUAACUAGAAUAAACUUUUUUUUUCAAAUUCUUACUUUAUAAUGUUUCUAGAGAAAAAAAAAUCUCAAAUAAAAUAAUAAUAAUAAUAAUAAUAAUAAUAAAUAAUAAUAAUAAUAAAUAAUAAUAAUAAUAAAUAAUAAUAAUAAUAAUAAUAAUAAUAAUAAAUCUAAAAGGAAUGAAAACAUCUACAUGGAGGAGUCUAGUUGUUAAUUGAUUUGAAUGACAUGGGAAGUAAAUGAGUAUUUUUGGGAAUAAUUGGAUGAUUCAUUAAAAAAUACAUAUAUUUCAAUUAUUUUUAAAUAAAUAAGGAUGAUACUAAUUUAAAAUUUUUGAAGUUCUUUUUUCCAUAUAUUUUCAUAUUAGUGAAUCAAAUCCAACUUUUCACUAUAUACAUUCUCUUGUUGAAAAGGAAAUAAAUCUUUCAAUAAAAGUCGAAAGAAAAUUGAAAAAAAAAAAUAGUCUCUUGUUGGCGAUUUUUUUUAAUGAACCAAACAAGCAACUAAAAAUCAAGGAACAAAAUUUUUUAAAUUAAACAAAUCAAAUCUUAGAUUUCAAAUUUAAUUUCCUAAUUUUACUUAUAAAUAAUGAUGACUUCCUUCAAUAAGAACUUUGGAUCGAUAAAAAUGACUCCUCACGAAAAGAUAAUCUUUACAAAGAAGAAAAUGUUUUACAAAAUCUCUCCACAAAUAUGAGAAAUCGUAAAUAUCCCUACAAGUCCAAGAAAUCAUAAAAGUACUACACAUGUACUCUUCAUCUUUUGACAGAGUCAUUUGGAAAUAAGUCAUUUUAGGCAUUCGAUUGACUUUCAAAACAAAGAAAACAUCUUCAUUGCCUACACACAUAAUCUUCGUCACUCAGAAAGUUCAUUCGGGAAUUAUUCACUUAUAACCUUUAAUUGAUCUUCAGAAUCAAGAAAACACUUUCAUUGUUUGCUUUCAAAUAGUGAUCAAAGUGAAAGAAUUAGAGAGAAAUAUUCUUUUGUAAAAAAGUAUUACCACAAAAAAUUUAUCCCUACAAUUAUUAAUUUUAUUAAAAUUUUAUUUUGCAUAUAUAAUUUUCUAUAGUUUUACUUAUCUUAUAGGAAUUCACGAAAAUUUGUUGGUACAACAACAAAUUGAUGGUACAUUUUCAAUUCCUAUGAAAAAAUGGUAUUUUUCAAUACCUACAAAUAUAUAUAUAUAUAUUUGGUUCCACAGUAAGACUAUAUUUUUUUUUUAAAUGUCACUCAUUUCCUAAAAAUAUUAUUUUUAAUCAUUAAUUUCUUAUCAAGAAUGUUUUUUUUCCUCUUUCUCCAACUUCAAAUUUGUUUUUUUUUUUUUUUAUAAAUUUUAAAAUGAAAAAUAAUCCAACCAUCUUUGAUCUAUUCUUUCUACACCACCAACAAUCAAAUAAGCUUUUCUUUUCUUUUCACCUUCUUUUUUUUUUUUUUUUUUUUGAUUUGAUAGCUCCAUCUUCUAAAAGAAGAGGGCCAUGUUCUCAUAAUGCUUGACCCAAUUUAAUUAAGCAUAGUUUUAUAUUGUGUUUGCUUAAGAUUCAAUAAAAUAAUCGUAAUGAUAUUAAAUUAUAAUCUAUUUACAUUAGUUCAACUGUAUAAUCAUCUUAGUUGUUAAUUUCAUCUUUAUAAUUAUGGUUGUUAUUAGUAUAAAAAGAAUUAAUAGUAAUGAUGAACAAGGUCAAUGACACCAAAGAUUAAGCCCACUACCAAUUUCCUAACUUAACUUUUUCUCUCCUAUCCCCUACCUUUAAUAUUAUUUUUCAAACUUUAGUUAUCAUUUGAGCCAAGAAAGAUUCCAAUAGUUAACUUGUAUAUUCAAUUUUCUAAAGAGAGGAGAUCCAAGUUCUAAUGAACCUCUUUGAAUGUCUUGAUCACCCUUCAUUAUUAAAGAAUUGAUGCUAUUUUAUUUUCUUUAUAAAAAAAAAUCUUGAUUUUCAAAGAUAUAAUUAAAAUAAUGAAGGAAGAAUUAACCAUAAAUUCUCAACAAUAUUUUCACUUUUCUACUUUAUAUUAUUUUAUCUUUUUACUUGUGAGUUGCUUUUUGAUACCAUAUAAUAUAUAUAUAUAUAUAUAUAUAUAUAUAUAUAUCAUCAAAGUACAAAUUGUUACAUAGUUAAGAAGGCCUCAUUACUUCAUACCUUAUGAAUAAUUAUGUCCCACUUCUUUGUAUUCAUAUCUCAUUUAUUUGUACUUUGAUUUUAUUUUUGUUAUUUGAAUCACAUUUCUUUAUAUUUUCAUUCAAUAGUCUAGAUUUAUCAUACGCUUCAAUAAUCUAGAUUUUGAGUUUAAUGUAAAAUUGAUUUGAUAUCAUAGAAUUUGCCUUUAUGUGAAGGUUAGAUAUAUCAUUAGGAAUUUGAGGUGAAGUAUAUUCAGACAUGUUUCUCUCAGGAGAUUGAUGUCAUAAAAGACAAAUUAAAAUUUAUGUAUAAAAAUCUUGUUUUAGAUGUAGUUGAAUUACUUGAAAAGUCUAAAUCAAUUGAUUGUAAAUGACUUUUCAAAACCAAAAGAGGCUUCAAAGGAAAGAUAGAAAAUCAUAAGGUUAGACUUGUUAUAAAAAGAUUUGCUAAAAAAAUAAAAAUAAAAUUGACUAUCAGAAAACAUUCUCUCAUGUAUCUCAAAAAAGACUCCUAUAUAAUCCCCAUGACAUUAGUAAGUUAUUUUAAUUUAGAGUUACAUUAAAUGGAUGUAAAAAUAAUUUGUUUGAAUAAGAAUCUCAAAUAUAUAUAUAUAUAUAUAUAUAUCAAUUUAAAGGUUUUGAAGAAAAUGAAAAAGUUAAGGGAAAUCUAGGAUGCAAAUUAAAGAAGUCCAUAAAUGAGUUAAAACAAACUUCCUAAUAACGAUAUUCAUAGUCAACUACUUCAUUACAUUUUUUGGAUUUAAUCAGUAUAUGUAUCUAAAGGUCAGUGGGAGCAAGUUCACAUUCUUACUGUUUUAUGUGGAUGAUGUUUUGCUUUCUAGUAAUGAUACAAAUUUGCUUUAGGAAACUAAAGAUUUUCUUUUUGAAAACUUUAAUAUGAAGGACUUAGGUUAAGUAUCUAUGAUUAGAAUUAAAACCUUUCAUGAAAUAUAUAAGAUGCAAAAUUGCCUAAUUGAAGCAAUGCCCAUAUUUUUAAAAUAGAAAAAUUCAAUUUUGAUCAAUGUUCAAAAAAUAAAGUCAAGAAGAGCAAAAUGAAAAAGAUUUAAUAUGCUUAUGUUGUUUGAAUAAGCUUCAUGUACACUUAAACUUACAAUCACACUGAUAUUAGUUUUGUAGUUGAAAUGUUGGAAAAAAAUUGAAGUAAUUUAGGAUGGGAUGAUUAGGUUACUACUAAAAGAAGUAAUGUGAUAUCUAUAAAUAACUAUUGAAAAACUUGUAGCAAUCAAAUAUCUAGAUUAUUCAUAUUAUGUUGGAUGCCUUGAUAGUAGGAAAUCAACAUUUGAAUAUAUUUUUCUAUUUAUUGAUAAAAAUUAUUGAAAGAAUUGUAUACCCUAUAAAACCAAUAGAUAAUAUUUUUUUUAUGUAUUUCAUGGGUACAAAUUAUAUAUGUCAUAAUUGAUGAUUUUUGUCUAGAUUAUACUUUAUAAAAAUCAUCUUGAUAAUAAGUAUUGUUAACAAUGAGAUAUUGUUGUCGCCUCGCGUAUCAGGUGGUCCAAGCUGCUGCUAGAUGGAUGAACACGCGAUUCUCAACACACAAAGGGUUCUUGAUUCAGUGGUCGCUCCUGCAAAAAGGCAUCCGGACAGGAUGUCCGAACGCACCCUCCGAUGGUUUUGUUAGCCAUGGUGAGAAAGAGGAAUAUAAAUCAGUUGGCCUUUUACUAGGUAUCAAGAGGUUACCAGGAGAGCCCUCUCUUCUUCGUGCGAAGGCAUAUAUAUACAGCUUCAGGGGUACUGUUCCUCUCAUUAAUGGUGAGGAGAUAUUUUAUGUUGUGAUGAUGACAAUAGGUGUCAGUAGGAGUAUUAUCACCCUACGAACGACUGUCAGAAACCAUGGUAGGUGAUGCGGCUGUCAGAGGUCGUGGGAAGGUGAUCAUGUAGAAUGAUCGUGGGAAGUGACUUGCUAUCACUUCAUCUUGUCUUCUCACUCUGUAGGUGACAAGAUGUGGGCCAUGGCUGCUUGUUGUGAUUGCGUGUAAGACUCGCUUUACUUUAACUGACCAUCCAGACGAUUUAUAUCCGGAUGGCUCGUGCUGAUUAUCCGGAUGUGUUGUGGAGACUAUCCGGAUGUCUACGCCCUGCCAACGUCGUUUGCUCUUCCUUGGAUAGGAGAAGUUGAAACGUCGUUUGCUUUUCCUCGAGGCGGUCCGGAUAAGAUAACUGCAUCAUGCAUAUCCUUAGGGGAAUCCGGAUGAUGAUGGUCCGACUGAUAACACGUGCCAUGCGUCACCAUGAGCUGUGUGUCACGUGUUCCCCAAGGGGAGGGGUCCCUACAGAUAUGAUUUCUAAUUUUAUCAUAAUCUUUUAAAAAAAAUGUUCAUAAUUUAUAAACUUUUCAUGGGCAACAUGUUUAUUAAAAGUUGUCAUGAGUUGUACUACUUAUAUACCAUAGAUUGAUAAGUUUUAAUCACUUGAAUGGAAACUCUUAUAAGUAAACUUCUUGAGUGAUUAUAAGGUGAUGAUCUAGACUACUAUAGACAACUUUUAAACAUCUAGAUGUUAUAUUAAAAUUUGUUCUGUUUAAUGUUACAUAAAGCCCUUUGAUUUAAAGAUGUUAGUAAGUUUUAUAUUAGACUUUGUAUAACUUUGAUAUUGUCGUCGGUUGCUGUCUAAUGACAUGUUAUACACAAACAUGUUAGAUUUUAUAAAUGAUAUAUGAAAAUUGGUGGAUAUCUAAUAAAUGAUCUAUUAAUUUUAUAGUAGAAGAGAAUAUUCAAGAUUAUGUUACCUAUAAAUUUGAUUGAAAUACUAAUAGGUCGGUUUAAAAAGAAUAUUUAACAAGUGUAUAUAGUUGUAAAGUAUAUUGUAUAUUUUGAAUUUCUAAAUUAUUAUUAUUUUUUUAAAAGUCCAAUUAUAAAAUGUAACAUGCUUGAAAGUUUGGGUAAUGAUAAUUAUUUUAGUCUGGCCUAAUAAACUUGUAAAGGAAUAUAUGUGUCUUAUUCUUUGCAUGAAAUUGUUUAUAAUUGACAAUUCUAUUUUAAAUAAACUUACUAAAGAUGUAAGGAUCUUACAAAGGUCUCAUGCCAUAUGUUCUAUUUUGCCUUAUUAAGAAGAGACAAUUAACUUUGAAAUAUCAAGAGUUUAUGAUAUAAAAAUAAGUUAAUUAAUCAUAGACAUUUACUUUAUAAGUUUAAAUAUUGCAAAUAUACAAAAAAAUUGUAAAGUUACAAAAUGUUGUAAAUUUAUCAUGAAUUAGUGAAGGUUACAAAGAAAGUUAUAACACCAAUGAAUUAUGAGGGUACAAAAAUUAUAAAUUUACAAAUAAAUUAUCAAGUUAUAAAAGUUGUAAAUUUAAACAAAAGUUUAAUCAACAAUGAAUUGUAAACUUAUAAAGGUUCUAAAUUCAUAAAUAAAUUGUAAUACAAUGAGUCUAAAAGUCACCCAUAAAUGAAGUCACAAAAAGUUAAUGAAAUAUCAUGGUUAUUGUUAUGCUUAUAAGUAGAUAACUUUUGGAAGAUAUGCAUAGGGCAUGUUUGGUAAUUUCUUUAUGAUGUUUAGUAGAACAAAAUGUUGUUUGAGAACUUGAAAUGUUUUUAACCUAUUUUUAAUAUUUUUAAAUAUAUUUUAAAAAUAAUUUUAUAUCAGUAUUUUAUUUUUAAUCAUCUUACAUAUUUGUAUAAUUAUUUUUUAAAACAAUUAUCAGAAAACAAGUGAAAACAACUAAAAGAUGUUAUUUGAAAACACUCUAUUUGUUGUUCUUAAAAAUUGAAAACAGAAAACAGUUUAUGCUAUCAAACGUGUUUUCUUGUUUUUAUAGUUUUGAAAAUAGAAAAUCGUUCUCAAAAAUAGUUGUCAAACAGACUCAUAGUUUUCCUACCUUGUCUUGUCUCUCUCAAAAUUAUAAACAUCUAGUACGAAACUACAAUAGCAUGCAUGUGAGAAAAGGUAAAAAUUUAUUUCAAGUUUUUCUAAUAAUGAUUUCAAGGCCUCUACACAUGAUACAUUAAAUCAUGUUAGCCUAUUCUUUAAAUACAAAAGUAAUUGAAAUUAGUUUUCUAUUAAAAGUGUCAUUAAUUAAGACUUUAAAUUUCAAAUGCACGUUAAAAUUCUUUACUUCUUUUAUUGGGACAAAAUCUCUGGAAAUAAUAUUUAGCUUAAAAACAUUUGAAACCUAUUAGGAUUUUAGAUCGAAAAGACAAACAAGACAUCAAAUAUCUAAAUCUUUUUAGCAUAUUCUUCAAAUGCAAAGCAAAUGAAAAUAAUUUUCGAUUUUAAAUAUAAAGUGUUAAAAUGACAAUAAAACUACAUUUGACCACACAUUGUGGAUAAUAUACAUACACAAAUUAGAAAUACUUCUUUUAUAUAUGAAUUGUUGAUGCUAUAUAUAGUAAAAUGAAAUGUCAUGGAUUCCAAUAGUUGACCAAUAACACAUUGCCACAUGGCCAUUUGCCCAACACAAGGAAUAAUGUAGGUCUCUAUCCAUGCGACUAUGUGUUUUGUACUAUCACAUGUACACUACGCGCGCCUAAUGGCCACAGGCGAUGGAUGCCUAAAGAGUGGUCCUGUCUCAUCGGAAUGAGAGAAUAUUUGUUAAGUGGGUGCUAGUAGUACCUUUCCUUUCGAUGCACAAGAAAGGAGAGAAGGAUCACUCCUCUUUACUCUUUAGGCUUUAGUUCAUGGAAGCAACCUUUAGAGCCCCGACAGAGAAGCGAGGGGGCCAUCUCAUUUCGUUAGUUUGUGAAGGUAACAUCUCAAAAGUCUUUAUGAAUCUAACCUCACAUGGAGAAAAGUCUCAACACCACCUCCUUAUCAAGAUUUAGAGGUUCUGAUAUCCCUAUCAUGUCAACAUGAUGGUCAUCCACUUGAUUUUUGUAAUCUCCCAAGGUUUUCAUAUAUAUAUAUAUAUAUAAUCAUGUACUCUCACAUAGGUGUCUCAUAAGAUUGUGAGAUCAAAUGGAUAGACAUUUUUUAUGGAAUCAAACAAAAUACAAAGAAACGAAAGAAGGUCAUCUCAUUUCAUUAGUUUGUGGAGGUAACCUCUCAAAACUCUUUGUGAAUCUAACCUCAUAUGGAAAGAAGUCUCAACACCAUCUCCUUAUCAAGAUGGUUUAAAGGCUUGAUUUAUGUAAUCUUUAAGGUUUUCAUAUAUAUAAUAUCAUGUACUCUCACGUAGGUGUCCCAUAAGAUUGUGGGAUCAAAUGGAUAAACAUAUUUUAUAGAGUCAAACAAACUUUCAAACUCAGUUAAAAGUCGACUUUAAUACCAUUUAUAAUAACUUGCUUUUAAUUGUAUAGAUAUUAUUUGUUUUGAACUCAAAAAACUUUUAUAACUUUAAAACAUGUUUAUAAAUUGAGAGACUUGCAUGUAUUGUUGGGAGCUUCACUCGAUGCGGGAUAUCACAGAAAUAGUGAGGAAUGGGGCAGGGGAGGCAGGAGAUGAGGUGGUUAUGGCGGUUGGUGCGACGACCGACCAUCAAGCCCUUCUAGUCAAGGCUCUUGGUUAGGUAGAUGGAGUGGCGGAGUGAUUGAGAAAGCCACCUCCAAGUGUCAAAAGCACAUGUCCUUGGAAAACCAAUGUUUGGUCUAAAGCUAAGCUGCGACAGGUCUAACCCAUGUUGCUGAGCUGGGAACAAAAGCCCUUCAUUAGUUAUACCUAUCCAUCAGUUAGGUGUUGAUACCCAACUAAUUUCUACAUUCUAUAUUUAUUAGGUUGGAAAAUAUUAUUAUUAUAUUUAAAAUUACAUUAUUUUUAUUAUUAAUAAUUAAUAAAUAAAAUCUUUUAAUAUACUAAUAACUAUUAUUUUAUAUUCAAUUGAAUAAUUAUUAAAAAAAAUAUUAAUUUUAAUCUUGAAUUUUGUAUUGAAAAUUAAUUAUAAAAUAAUAAAUUUAUUUAUUUUUUAUAUUUUUUAUUCUUUUUAAUUAAUAAGAAAUGGUUUUCAAAUUAUGACUAAAAUGGUUAAAUUUUAAAUUAUAUAAUAAAUAUUUUAAAUUUCAAAGUUUAUCUAAUAAAAUUAAUUUAAAAUUAAAACAAAAUAAAAAUUACUUAUUUUUAAAAAUAAUUUAAUACACUCAAAUAUUAAAAAAAAUUACUAAAAUAAAUCCAUAACGAUUUUAAUUUAAUUUAAUUUAGGAAAAAUUGAUAUGGUCAAAGUAGUUGUGAUCCAAUUAAAAAUAUUGUUUUAAAAAAUAUAUUAAAAAAUAACGUCAAAGUGAAAUAAACAAGAAAGGUAUUAAAUGAAGUUUAAAAAUUAAAAUAUUUAUUAUUUAUUGUAAAAAGAAGAAAAAGAAUACAAAACUAAAUUAGUUUAUAUUUUUUUUAAAAUAAUUAAUUUAAUUAAAUCAAAGAUAAAAUUCAAGAUAAAAGUUCAAAUAUUUUUUAAAUCAAUAUCUAAUUUGAUAAAAAAUAAUUUUUUUUAUAUGAUAUAAAUAUAUCCAACAUAAACAUCAUUUUUACUUUUUAUAGAUAUUGUCCACAAUAAAUAAUAAUUCUUUUAUAUAUUGGAUUUAAUAUAUAAAAUUAAUAAAAAAAAUUAAAUAAUUUUAUUAUUAUAAAUAAAUAUUAUUAGUUAAAAAUAAUAUUUAUAAAAAUAAAAAAAAUAAAUAAAUAAAAACAUCUCCUAAAGAGAGGAUUUUAAAAUAUGAGACAAAUUACGAUAAUUUUAUAAAUAUUUUCUUCACUACCUUCCAUGUAAUUAUCAAAUUCCUUGGAACAAACAAUGAGCAAAUCCUUAGAAAAAUGGGAAAUCAUGCCCCAUAUAAAAAAAUUACAUUUUUUUAUAACUUUUACUUUUGAUUUUUUAUUUUUAAAAGAUAUGUAUUUUGAGGACAAUAACCCCCAUGCAUUCAAAUAGUGAAAAUAAUCAACAUUCCAAAUUUACCCUCAAACCCUUUUUCAUAUGCCGAUAAUUAUCACAUUUUUUCCUUUUUCCUUUUUCUUUUAGUUACUUGGACAAGACAUAUGAGCCCAUAGUUAUUAUUGUUUUUUUUUUUUUUUAUUAAAAAAUUUGACAAGUGACAACCACCAUACACGUGAUUUUUCCCUUUUCUUUUUCCACUCUUCUAUAAUAUCUCUAUCUUCUUUUUGCAUUUUUUAAAUAUAUAUAUAUUCACUUCAUAAAAUCUUUUAUAUUUCAUCUUUCUGUAUUUAUUGAUUUUAAUUAUCUAUGGAUAUUUUAAACAUAAGAUAAUAAUAUAUAAUAAUAAUUAAUGAGAAUAAAUUUAAUAUAAAAAUAAAUGUAUGAUUAACAAAUUUAAAGAUUUAGGACAUAAAAUUUUCUAUAUUUCAACUAAAUAAAAUAUUUACUUAUUUUAUAAAUCUUAUUAUAUUUUCAUAUUAUUUUAUUAUUUAUAUAUUUUUUUUAAAAUUUUAAAUUUUCAUCUUAAAAUCACAAUAGAUGGUUAUAGUUUUAGUUUUUUCCUUAUGAAUUUAACUUACCCACGGUUUUAAUUUUUUUUUUCUUGGCUAAAAUGUUUAAUAUUUUUAAUUAAGGAAGACAAAAUCUCGUUGUGAUUUUAAUAUUUUGUUUUAUUAAAAAUUUUAAUUUUUUAUUUAUAUAAAAUAAAAUUAAAAUAUAUUCAUAAAAAAUGUAUUUAAUCAUUUUAUUAAUUUUUCUUAAUUUUACUAAAAAAUAAAAUUUUUGCAUAUUGAAAUUAUGCAUUGAUAAACAUAACUUUUGGAAAAGAGGUAACACUAAAAUGUGUUAAAAGUAACACGAAAAUGUGUUACUUUUAACACAUUUUAGUGUCAUUUUUUUUCAUAAAAGAGUGGUACUAAUGAUUGUGUUGAUCAAUGCUUAAUUUUAGUAUACAAAAAUUAAUUAAUUUUUAAUAAAAUUAAGAGAAAAUUAACAUAAAUGUUUAAAUACAAUUUUUUAUGAAAAAAUAUAUUUUGUUUUUAUUUCAUAUAAAUAAAAAAUUACAAAUUUUAACAAAGCAAAAUAUUAGAAUCAUAAUCAAGUUUUUAUCUUUUUUCUUUUAAGUAAAUACUCUUUAAGUAAAAAGUUAAAUUUGUUCAUUAUGUACUUAUUUUUACAUUAAUUUUUUCUCAUUAUUUAUUUAUUUAUUUAUUUAUUAUUAUUAUUAUAGGUUUAAAAUGUUGAUAAAUAAUUAAAAUUAAAAGAUGAAAGAGUGAAAAAAAAAAUGAAAUUAAAAAUCAAAAGGCAAAAUGAAGAAAAAAGGAAAAAAAUAAUAAUAAUGUGGCAUGUAGGUUUGCCACAUGUAAAGCUUAAAAACAUUAACAAGUAUGAGUAAAAAAAAAAAAAAAAAAGAAUCAUGUAAUCAUAUCUCAUCUAAAAAUAAUUAUAUUUUUUACAAAUGUAUUUUUGGGAAAAUAACUUUCAAAACAAUAAAAUAAUUUUUUUCCAACUGUUUUUUUCUUUUUUGGGAGAAUUAUGUUUUGAUGGCCAAUUUGGAAAUAAUAACAUUUUCGGAACCCAACUUUCCAUAAUGCAAGAUAUGUCCACUGUUUGGAAAAAUAUUAAAGGAAACAUGCAUUCUGGUCUGAGGUGUUAUUUCAUACCGAAAAUACCCCUCCAUUGUUCAUCGUCCCUGUGAAAGGUCCCGAUUUUUCCUACCAGCCCACGCAGGAUGCAAAAUCUGUCCAAUUUUUUUUUUUUUUUUUUUUAAAACAUAAAAUGCUAUUUGGUAAUCUGAUCAUGAUUUGCAGGCAAAGGUUGGAUUUUUCAGCAUGGCUCAAAAAUCGUGGAUUUAGGGUUUCUGAAAUUUAAAUCCAAUGGCCCAAAAUCAAAAGAGACCCCUAGAUCAGAUCAAGAAAACACAUGGAGGAAAAAAAAAAGCACUUUUUUUUUUGUUUUUCUUGGGGGUUUUGCAUGGAUUUGGUCGGAAAUCAAACGAGGAUGGAUUUUCUCGGAAAUCAAACGAGGAUGGAUUUUCUCGGAAAUCAAACGAGGAUGAAUUUUCCCGGAAAUCGAAUGGGGGAUGGAUUUUCUUGGGAAUCAAACGGGGGUUGCAAAAAAAAUAUAAUAACUUGAUUAGAUUCGUACCUGCGAGGAUUGAGAAUGGCAGAGGAAAAAAUAGGGCUUUUUUUAGGGAUUCUCUCGUCUGGAGGCCAACUUCAGAAAAGGGCCUCGGAAAUCAAACGAGGAUGGAUUUUCUCGGAAAUCAAACGAGGAUGGAUUUUCCCGAAAAUCGAAUGGGGGUGGAUUUUCUUGGGAAUCAAACGGGGGUUGCAAAAAAAAUAAUAAUAACUUAUUAGAUUAGUACCUGCGAGGAUUGAGAAUGGCAGAGGAAAAAAUAGGGCUUUUUUAGGGAUUCUCUCGUCUGGAGGCCAACUUCAGAAAAGGGCCUCGGAAAUCAAACGAGGAUGGAUUUUCCCGGAAAUCGAAUGGGGGUGGAUUUUCUUGGGAAUCAAACGGGGGUUGCAAAAAAAAUAAUAAUAACUUGAUUAGAUUAGUAUUGCGAGGAUUGAGAAUGGCAGAGGAAAAAAUAGGGCUUUUUUAGGGAUUCUCUCGUCUGGAGGCCAACUUCAGAAAAGGGCUCCUUGAUGCCCGAGUGAGAGACGGUGUCGUGAGAGACGGUGGCUGCUGACAGGGACAAUUAAAGGGCAAUUUUGGAAUAGCAUUUUAAAACAGUAGAUAAUGCAUGUUUCCUUUAAUAUUUUUCCAAACAGUGGAG
rnacentral:lncRNA from 1 species